UUUUUUUUUUUUUGGAGGUCCCAAGUCUUAUUGCUUAUGUUGAUGGGACAUCAAAGUAGUUGGUUUAGUAGACUUAGCUGCAAGAUCUGCACUAUCACCAAUGUAACGGAUGAAUUUUGGGUUCUUAAAGAGAGAAAAAAUUAGUUAAAGAUCUUAAUAUGUCUUCCGCAUUGAAGUGGAAGUUAUUGCAAAGGUGAAAGUCGUCCUUGUCAAAAGUUUUUGUGCUAAUCAAUUCUCUUUUGGUUAGAUAACACAGGUGGCUAAUCCUACAUGAACAAUUUUAGACAGCAAAAAUAUCACACAUUCUUUUCUUAAGGGAAAAAAAUAAGCAAAUUUUCUGGUGCAAAUAUGUGAUGUAGGACCGAAUAGACAUCUCAUAUUAGGAUAAGUCAUUCUUACUUUCUUGUUAAUUAGAUGAUGGUGUUAUAACCAACCAUUUUAUCAACAAGAGUGUUUUUUUUUUCAGUUAGAAAACCUCCAAUAGGUUCAAAUAACUUGAUUAAACUUGUUUCUUACACCCAGAUUCGUUCAUUAAUCUAUCCAAAGUUGAUAUCAAGGCUUCUAAAACUUGUACCUUGCUUUGUAUUCUGUUACUCUAGAAUCUUGUUUAAGCAAAACUGAAAGAAACAAAAAUAAAGAGCUCUUUAUUACCGUAAAAAAAUGUAAUGCAAAUACAUUCACUACAGCAGAUUUGUGCCACAUAAAUUGUAUUUAGUCCGUAUAUUAGCACGGAAUUAUUUUUAUUAUGAUUACUUAUGAAUCACGAGUAAUGUUUUUAUUCAUUAUUCAAGUUUACAUCAGAAAUUUAUUAUAUUUCAAACAUAUAACUGCCAUUUUAGUCUUUAUGUAAUUAAACUUUCUCAAAUGGUUAUACACGUAAUUAUAUUCAGUUCAAUUCAAGACAAAACAAAAAUAUACCAAUCUAUUUCUACAUGAAUCAUUUAUUAUUUCUAUCAAAGUUAAUAAAUUCACUAAUGCAAUAAUUAAAUUUACACUAAACAAAGUUACCAUAUAUGAUACAAAAUAAUAAUUUAAAUUUAUUAAAUGACAUAGAAAUUGUUAAAAGAGAUAAAGAAAUUAUAAGUAAAAUGGAUUGGAAGAUAGUUAGAUGCCAAAAGGGUUAAAACUCAAGUACCUAUCGACCCAUUAAUUCUGUUCAAUUAAGCAUGCCGCUCCAACAGAGAAAAUAAUUAAUUACAAUAAGAGUUUACACACACAUGCGUGUGUGUGUGUCUGGCUCUUAUCUGGAUUCUUUUUAUUCUCUUGAUUCUUGCUCAUGUUUGAUGAUGAACAUUAUCACGUUUGGUUCUUUCCAAGAUGGAUCUAUGAAAAUUUACAUGUCCACGAACCUGAUUUGAGUUAUACUGUAUUAACUACUAACUGACUGAAGGUGUGAACUAGAAAAUUAUGAUAAUUAUAGAGAGCUCAUGGAGUAAUGAUCUUUUAUAUAUUUUUCCACAAGUGACCUGGGUACUAUUGUGCCUGCCAAAAAGAGAAAAAAAAAAACCUACCUCCUAUUGCAUGUAACGUAUGCUUAGUGGCUACUAGAAACACGAACCAUUAUCCAUUGGCAGAUUUUUGCAACUUAUUUACUAGUGUUUUUUUUUUAAUUGCCAAGGUCUUCAAUACACCGUCCGUCUACAUGACUCGCAAGAAAAUGUUUCCAAAAGGAAAAAAAAAAAGGGAAAAGCAAGGAAAAGGGCCUAAGGUAAUACAAGAUAGAAAAAAAAAGAUAGAAAGUAUCACUCUUCCAACCAAAAAAAAAGCCACUCAUGACUAAAUAACAGUUAAGAGCUUGAUUUAGAAGGGGAGGGAUAGAUUGAACGAUACGGUAGAGAGAAUUUAAGUAAGAAAUUCCAAAGUCAAACCUACUGCUUAUAUUAUAAAAAAAAUAACUAAAAAAAAAAAGAAGAGAAUGAUUUAGAAGAUAUCAAGGAUUUGAUUGAUCGGAUGGUUGCAAAGUGGACACGGCACACGUUUGAGCCACAGCGCUCUCGAGCACUCUCUACAGUAGGUGUGCCCGCAGGGAAUAAAAGCUGCACCUCUAUUCCUCACCAUGCACACGCAACACAAAUUAUCAUUCCCUCCUUUAUACCACUUGCCCUUCUUUGAAUCCACGCCGUCAAUUUCUUCGAAUAAUCGCAUCAACGGCUUCUUAUGUUUUCUGGGACCCACUUUACGCAAUUGACGCUCGGCAGCUAAUAACGUGGCCAAACUUAUACCCCUGGCCUGUAUGUUACGGCCAACAUUAGCCAUCAUGGGCUGUAGUUCCUCCUCGGUUUCGUGUGACUCAUGGGCCUGGGCUGCUUCUUCUUCACAAACUGUACUGUCAGAGACCCUUAGAUUGAUUGAGGAUCCACAACAGGCCAUCAUUUUGAAUCUUAGCCUUUGCAUCAUAGUCUCCACAGUCUGUUGGGCCUAUAUUGACCGUCCAUUCGUCCUACUUUUGUGUCUUUGAGAUGAUAUUGCACUUUUUCCCUAUUCCUAAUUGAAGAGUUUGAUUUCACAUUGGCACUAUGUAUUUUGGAGAUUACAAUUAAGCUAGCAACAAAAAACUGGGAAUGUUUGAGAGAAUUCAAAUUGAAAUUAAUGAGAGAAUUCAAAUGUAGGGUGAAAAUAGAGAAGACAAAAAGGCACCAAUUUAUGAUUGUAUUUAACGCGAUGAAUUAAAGACAUUAUUGUUAAGAGAUCGACAAAUUGAAUAUAUUAAUACCUUCAUGCAGAUUUCGUGUUGAUGAUUGAAUAAUCCUCCUUGUGUUUCUUGAGAGGUGAUAAAUCCUUCUGAUCUAGUGGAUGAUUACGUUUGCUGCAUAUAGGCAAUAUGAGACUAUGGGAAAUGGUUUCAAACAAGGGAAAUAGAAUGGAAGAAGGCGGAGGAGGAAGAGAAACUGCCUAUGAUGUUUGUACUAUGUAAAGGGAGAAUUUGAAUUCCUCAAGAGAAGAAGAAAAGAGAGCGAAGGUCAUUGAAGAAUGGAAAUCAAAGUUGUCAUGUUGGCUCCUUUUCAAGAAAUAAAAGUCUCAUUAAUUGGCUGGGAUCCAUUUUUUAUUGCUUUUGAUUGUUUGUUUGCUACAGCUGACAUAAAAAGCCAAAAGGGUGUCAAGAUUAAGGCUGAUUCAGUGCAUAUGAACUUUUUUGACACGCAUUCAAAUAAAGGAGCUGUUAGAAUAUGUGAUACUCUAUUAAAAAUUGUUCAUUAUAGAAAAGUUUAUCGUAUCAGUUUUUUUUUUUUUCUGCAGCAAGAAAUGAUGUAAACAUUAAAAUCAUCAAUAACGUUUUCGGGGGUUUUUACCUAAAAAAACAUUUUAAAAAUUUUAUUUUCUCUCGUGACCAUGUUUCAAGUUUUGGGUUGACUUGGUGUACUUUACGUAAUAACUGGAGACCAUAUAGUCGACAAAUAUUUUUAAAAUCUAAUCUAUUAAUCUGGAGUAUAAUUUCUUUUUGGGCUGACUUGGUGUACUUUCUUUUUUAUCUGAACUGAAAUCAAGCAGAGGAAAGAACAUCUAGGAGUAUAUUGCAAACAGAAUAAGGAAAAGUCAAGGGUGUACCUAAUUAGAAUAUAUUGUGGGCUUAGUGGAUUAUACCUUUUCUCUUCGUGCACUUACUAAAUUUAUUUGUUUAUCAAAAAAAAAAAAAAGAAAAAUCGAAAAUGAUUUAAGGUAUUUGAAAAUGAAUAAAGCAGCAGCCACCAAUCAAGCAUUAACUUUCAAAUUUGUAAUAUUUUCCCUUCAAACCAAAAGCUUUGAUUACAUAAGCUUCAGUUCAUUUUGUUGGUAUGAACUGGCUUAUGACUCAUGAAUCAUGAGAUAGGGUAUGCAACGCUCAAUGAUUGACUACGCGUGAUCUUGUUGGACUCUUUGUACUGAUGAUUUGAAUUUCGUCUUCCUCAAACACGUUUUCGAGAAAAUCCAUUGCAAAGUAAAAGAUUACUGUACAUUUCAUCAGCAUAUGCUAGUGGAAAAAUCUGUCUUGUACUCUUAUGCACUGGCAUAAAAUAUGGCCCAAUUGGUUGGUGACUUAAAGUCCAAGGAGUGUGUUUGUUUCACUGAUUGGAUGAGACAGAAUUAAUCAUCUUUGAACAACUCAUUCUAGUUUGAGUAAUUCUAGAAUUAGUAAUCUUGUUGUUAUCUAGUGUUUAGUUAGUUUUGGAUUAAAUCAGUUGUCUUAAGAAAAAGUGAGGUCCUAUGUUUUGUUGGAAAUCAAAUGAGAUAAGGUAUAUUCUAUGUUUGAUUGGAGAUCGAAUGAGGCGAAUUACCAAUUCAUUGGAUAAAAAAUAUCCAAUGAUUCACCAGCAGGCUACUCUGCAAAACCUUGUACUCUUCUCCAUGGAUUGCUCCAUCUAGUACAUCAAGUCCAACUGCUACUCUGAGGUUGAGCUAUUAAUAUUCCUCAAUUUGAAAUUAUCCUCUGCAUCUUCCCCCCCCCCCCCCCCCCCCCAAAAAAAAAAAAAUAAAAUCUUCAUCUUCCCUCUUUCCGUGUAGCAUCUCAUCAUGUCUCAUUGAUGAUCUCAUUGAUUACAUGAAUUGAACCCUCCAAAAUCCCCUAGUGAGGCAUCGUGCAAUCAAUUUCAUCACCACAGAUGCCAUAUUCCCAUCAGUAGACAGAUUUAAUAGUAGAAUCCAUGCUGGCACAUCACUUUUAGUUCCAAUCGGUCCUCCAUCCUCUUCUAAUCUCAACAAACUGUAGAUUAGUUCUUCCCCUCCAACGUCAACAACAGUGGUGAAUAGCAGUUGAUGCAGCCAUAAGCCUCAAACAUUAUUAAUGCACCCAACGGAGUCUGACCGUUUCAGACAUUUAUCCGGCACCUGAGUUGUGUCAUGUUGAAACAGGUGCUCUGGGAUUGGGAGGAGAGUCUGUGUUAACAUAGCUGAACAGGGCCUGGGAAGUUUAAAAAGAAACUUCAGGGACUAACCUGGGACUUGACAAAUUGUCUUGAGUUUAUUAUUUUUGCUUUUUGCCUCACCAAGAAAUAGAAAAGUGCUAGCUUUGGUCACUAAGAAUGACUACUAUAAAUCUAUGGUUAACCACAUAAUCAGGCCUAUGCAAUUCAUAAACAUAGGUCAAAGCGCAUAGAAAUGUACAAAGUAUACAUUUAUUAACAGAAGAUAACAAGUACCUGUCAUAUCCAUGUUUUACCGUAUUUGCAACAUCAAAUGGCGAUAACUGCGUCCCCUUACACUUCUUUGCCAAAGUACUCAACAGAUUCCUUAAAAUUCAUUUGUAGCCGCUGCUGAACAAGCCUGCAAAUUACUAGUAAGUUAUGAAAUGCUUUUUUGCUGCUUCAAAAGUUGUUGCAAGAGACACAACCACCUCUUACCAUCUCACAAGGCAUCUCUGGAUACCACGUGUUAUGGGGCGAAUGAAUGAAGGGUCACGUUGGGCAUAAAGCAAACCAACCUAGGAAAGAAAAUAAACCUGUAAACUGAGAGAGACAGAGAAAGAGACGAGACCAUAUUUUUGUAGUUGCCUAAAUCCUUUGACUAAUCAAUUUAAUCAGCUUCAAAUUUGAGAUAUACCGUCAAACAAUGAGAGAAUAUAAAUUGAAGGUUAUAUUGCAAUAGAUAAAAUUAUAAUAGCACAACUACCAAUUAAUUCCAAAUAUUAAUAAAUGCCUAAUGAAUUCUGAAUUGAAGAGGCCUAGAUAAAUAGUUGAAAGGAAGCAAGAUAGGUGAACAAAUCAAUAGGGAAGAUAACAUGGCAAAUGCUUUUUGGUAAUGAAAAAAUGAACAUACCAAUAAGCAAUCCCACGUUCUUCACAAAGAAGAAAUUUAUGAAGAAAUGAACAUUACCCAAAAAAAAAAAAAAAGAUUGAACAUCAAAUAAGUACCUCUAGCAAGGCAACAGCUGAAGGAUCAUCCAAGAUCUCCAGACUACAGUCAGCUAGAUAGUUAACCUGCAGUACAUGGCAGCAAAGCAAAAGUGUUGGAAAGUCUAAAGAUGAGACAGAAAACUUCUGAGCUAGGGCAAUGGUCUUCGAUGAAUUUCACACUAUGAAUGUGUGCUUUUGGAAGAAAUCCACUGGCAUAUGUACAUGGUAAACAUUUAAUGAAGGAAAUGUCACAUCAAACGUCUUCAGUCAAAUGCUUACAAAUUUCAGGACCAACAAAACAUUUAUUAAGGCCGAUGGAUUCGUCUGGAAAAACACUUAGCAAAAUUGGAAGGCAAUGUUGUUGAGACUGGAAGACAACAUUUGUCAUAGCAAACUGGGAACAUACCAGGUUACUCAUACUGAUCCAAUUUUUUACUAGUACCAAUUCAUGCAACAAAAUUGGUGAAUUCAAGGUUUCUCUUGCUGAAUUUCGGUACCAGUGAUGCAUCAAUGGAUACUAGUUAAGAAGCUCAAAGGGUAGAAGUCUGUAUAUGCUUACUUCAGCAUAUAAGGUGGACCUUCUGCAUCAAUUUCUGAUGCAACUGAAUAAAGACCUUUGGGAGAAUGCUAGUUGGGCUUUAUCCAGGGAUCAAUGGCUAUGUACAAGUCCAAAAAUCUUAUAGUUAGCCAGAGACCAGAGUCAGAAAACUAAACGCAUUCAGUGAGAAGGUUCAACUAUGUUCUUUAGUCAUGCCAUUUAGAGAGAAGGUUCAACUAUAUUCUUUAGUCAUGCCAUGUAACUCUCGGGUUUGACUUUUUGACUCUGAAUUACAAACACGUGCAAUUACACAAUUGUCCAAAAAAUUUAUCUUUUUGGAAUGACAACAAAUAGCCAAAUUGGAAGAUAACAUUUGUUUACUUAACAGUAAAGACAACAUAUGGCUACAUACAAUCUUCCACUACAAAGUUGUAAUAGAGUACACUUAUAGGGGCUAAGGAAGUCAACUACUACAGGUAGAAAUUUAGUGAGAAUGAAUGACACAUGGAGUCAAAUGAUGACCAAGUUCCGGGAGGCGCCCAGGGUGACUUUACAUAUUUUACUCUCUUCUAAGUAUUCUAGAGAUAAAAUGCUUAUUCUUCGCCUCACCCUUGAUUUCAGCUUUUUAUCCUAGCAGUACACAUACAAAACUGAUCUCAUCUUUUACAUCUCUUUCAGAUUUUUUACAUCUUCUACUCAAGAAAAUUCUCAUUGCUCUUUCGAGGUAACACUCAUGCUCCUAAAGAACAUAAAUUCGUCCUACAUUUAUGUCACUUCAGAGACAUUACCUGGACAUGUGGAUAUAAAAGGUAAACAGACAUUUAGUAACUGGUACCUGAUAGGUUAACUGAAGGCCACAAAGUUUGUUUAUUUACUCUUUUAUCAUUUCAUAAAACAAUUAUUCAAAACAUAUUCUGAUCUCUAUUAUUGCAUUUGGAAAUGCUUUGCAGAACUGAUGCAUUUAUCUGAUUCAAUACAUUACUCUCUGAACAAAAGCAAUGCCCUGCUAGAGACAGCAUUCAUAAUUCACCAUCAUAUCAGAAUAAAAACCAUACCAUCACGCAUUCAAGAAAAAUCUGCUUAGACAAGUGAAAUUGGCUUGUUUCUGAACUUAAUGCAACUUGAAUAAAGAAAAUAUAAUUCCUUGCACUUUAAGUAUCUAUACUUUUGAUUAUUGAAUCAAGGAAUCCGUCAAGUGGAGAAUACAAGUUGUAGAACCUCAUGGCAAAAAUUCACUCAUUCUUGUUUUUCAACUUGACUAGUUAAAUGGAAAAAGGGCAAGAAACUUAGUGAAAAAAAGAAUCAUGAGAACAAUAUCAUAACAACUGGCAGUUAAAAAAAAUUGUAAGUUGUUAAGAGAAAUAUGAAAGGAGUACCCCAAAUUCUGUGUUGACUAGAGAUUGAACAAAGUCCAGCAGUUGAAUCUUAGCCCACUGGUGGCAUAUGGAAGGAUCGUCUGUAUGUGGAGGAUGUCUCCAGGGAGCACCAAACCGCAAUCUGUCUUUUGAAACCUUUCCACUUUGUGCAUCCAAUGCGAACUUUUGCAAGUGAAGAAGUGCUUUUUCCAUCACAGGAUCAACUACAGUUAACUAAAGGAGAAGAAAGAAUGUAAUGAACAGUUUAGAUCGAAAGUUAUCUACAGCACAAAAAAGUGUACUAACGUCAACUUUAUUUACAUCAAGGAUUUUCUGGUUUCUAGUGCUUGUGGAGGAAAUAUUAUUUCAUUGCUUCAUGAGGUGGUCUAAUUAGCACCAGAAAAUAACAAUUGCAAAACUUGUGCACUUUCAUUACAUUUCUAUUGAUUUGAGGACUAUGAUUUCUUGGUCCUUCUAGCAUGAUCUCUGUUUUGCUAAAAAUUUGAGCACAGAAUGUUUCAUUUUGCACAAGUGACCGCAUUCAGGAUGUCCACUAUGCAAAUGACAAGUUGAAGGUGUUUGAAAGUCGAAAGGAUACAAAACUUAUAAUUGGCAAUUUAACCAAAAAUAUCUCCUGAAGAUGUAUCUUACAUACUACUUUUUGUUGUCUAAUUACUUUUCUGAUCUGAGGUUUUGCUUCAUUAGUGGUUUUUCAGGUAAGUUCUACUUGUGACAGGCUUCUCCCUUAUAAUAAGGCAGGUUGCUGUGUUGAACAUAUAUUAUCAAAGCACCUAUACAUAGAAUGCUAGCAAGAUGUGCACUAACACAAGUUUCUAAUAUAAGAAGAGAAUUUGUGUCUUUUGAACUUCCAAUUAUAUAAAUGGUUUGCCCUUAUUAUAGAUAGCUCUAUGUACUUAAUCAACAUUACUGAAGUUCAAACAGGUGAUAAGUUCUCGAACAUGCGUAUCACAGGUACUCUUCGCCUAGUUUUAGAAGAGAGAGUUACUUUCAUUAUGAGUUUGGUUUAUACCAAAUUGUCUCUCUUAAAUUGUCUAUCACAGUUAUUGCAGUUGAACGUAUUUUUUUUUUAUUCUUCUGCAGUAUGCACCUUUUAAGAAAGGAUCACACAUUUUAGGAAAAUAUUCAUUUUUAGUAUCAUCAUCACAAAAUCUAGUUCUUGCUUCGAGAAUAUCCAGAAAAAGCAAUUCCUUGUCUAGGGCUUGAAAAUUUUUAUGCUUAUUGUUUAGAUUCUUUCUUUUUUGCUUGUUCAUGUAAAGCCAAUGGUAGUCAAAUUCAUUAGAGGAAGAUUUUUCAAGUCUAUAUAGAGAUAUCUUUCUUUUUGUCACUUCACCGUGUUCAUUUGGUCACGAAUCAAGACUCAACAACACCAUCAAACUGCAUAGUCCCCUCAGAUGUAAUGCAAAUGAAAUACAGAAAUUCAAAGUAAAAGCUGAUAUGGCAGGUUCAUGUUGAACUGGAUUAUUAACUUAAAGAAUAAUUUGUACCACCACAAAAAUAAUGUAGCUGAGCUGUAAAGACAUGACAGAGCUAAUGCCAUGGGUUCUGAUUGCAAAUAAGUGACAGUUGUGAAGAGAUUAAUAUCGCACAAAAGAUUAAAACUUUAUUAUCACAUUAUCUUGAUGCCAUACGGCACAAACAUCAAAUGUAACACACUUCAAUUAAUUCUCUGUUAAUUUGGAUUCAAUAGGACAGCAAUUUAACUUCAUUUUGUUAAGCAAGACCAUGCUGAUAUAUGGAGCAAUUCUUCAGUUUAACUUUAGGAUGUAAGGGUGAAAUUUGAAUAUUGAGUGUUGCAAGUACAGGAAUAAAAUGAUAACAUAAAGACCACACACAGUAAACUCAAAAAUCACUCCUUAGAAGCAAUGGUUCUGACCAGUCCGAAAAUCUGAUGUUCUUACAGCCAAAUUGGCCUUAUAAGGUGGAGGGGUACAGGCCACUUGUUCAUGUUACCUCUUGUUCCUGAAUCAUAUUGGAUUGACUACUCAACAGAAAUAGCUUUAGUUAAAGUAUAUUUGACUAGGACAGUCAUAAUUAUCUUGCAGUAGCAAAUUUGAAUUACUACUUCGGGCUUGGGCAUUAGUUUUAGCUAAGGUCCCCUUCCUAGGGUUAAAGAGAUUAGAAUAAAACCUCUUAUUAGGAGUGUUUAGGAUUCAAGUUGUCCCCUUGAAGUUUAAAUGUGCAAACCCAUUUUGAAAAGUUUGAUGCUUACAUUACACCAUCACAUUACUUAGGUGAAUCCAAUGCAGGAAAUCAUUCUACUAAAUUGGAAGGUAAUAAAGGCAUGGAACUCACUAAACUAUCACUGAGGACUAAGGAACUUGACAAGAUAAUGGUUAUAACUAAAAGUUCUAAUUCUUUCCACAAAAAUUCUGGUUUUGAGAAUCAAAUACAUUUUCCUCUUCUUUGAUUUCAUCUCAUAGACGCAGGAAUUUGUGCUUGCCACCUGUUAUUUUUCAUAUAAAAAAAUAUUUGAUAAUAGAUCAAAUUUUCAAUCUUUAUCCAGCAUGUGAUGUUGUGUUACAGGAAGGAAGAGAGAGGAGAGAAGGAAGAAAGAGGAGAAACAUUUAUGUAGACUAGAUCAUCCCCAAAAAUCAAACAAGAAAAGAAAUGUCCUUACAUAGCAAAACUACACUAUGUCUGUUGGCAACUCAAAAGAUAUCCUUAGUCUCUCAGAAUCUUGCGUUGUAUCAAAACAAUUUGUUUCUCCUAUGACCACAUUUGUUUAAACAAGCAUGAUUAACCAAUAAGCAGGAACCACCCACAUAUAUAGUGAUCAAUUUUCUUAUGCCUAACAUAAUUUCCAUAGAAGACUUUUCCUUUUAAGAUUUUGUCAGAAGUUCAUUUCUCUAGCAGUCUACUCUUAACUCCUAGAGGAAAUGAGGUAAUGCAAAAGCACGGACAAAGAACAAUGUUGAGCAACUCAAAUUAAGUGUACUUAGGCGCAUAAGGCUAUCAAUGUUUGGAAUUAGUUUUAUUUCACAAACACGUACAGAAAAAUCAUCAAAGCAACUUGGCUCCAAAUUGCUAGCAACUUUAUGUAGCAGAACUUCAAAUACCAUACAAAGCAGUAGCUAAUCAAGGAACUUACUUGCAGAUAUGCCAAGUAUGCAUCCACAAUGUCUUCAAAGGUGCUACCUUUCUCAUCCGUGACCCUACAGUAGGAAAAUGAGCAGAAAAAUUAACAAAAAACAUAAAACAACUAUACUCUUGUUAAACAGGGGGAGAGAGAGCCUGGGGGGGGGGGGGGGAAGAUACACUGGCAGAGGCUUUUUACUGGAUAACCAACAAAGUUAAUGGUAAACAUCAAAAUGUGAACAUUUCUAACAUACUCAUAUGGAGCUCCAAUGUCUACUUUCAGCCUCUCAUGCAUCAACCAGGGAAAUGAACUUUCAUUUGAUACUAAAUAAUUAAAUGCCAUAAUUUGUUUUUCUGUCUGACACAUGCUAUAUUGCCAUGGAAAGGUGACCGGGUAAAAAGAGAUAUGUUCAAGUCAGACAUAUCAAACUAAAUUAAGUACAUAAUACUAUUGCAAGUUCUACAUGAGUUUUUAGAUCUACUAAAAUAGGAACAGUUUUGAAGUCAUUGUGACUGAAAGAAACAUAAUCAUCCCACAAGGAAUAGUGUUUAGAAUUAAUGUGAGAAAAAAAUUAACACUUUGUCCAACAAUAUAGCUGUUUCAGUUAGAUAGGUGAUAGCUUAUUGAUGUACAUCAAGAUCUCAUUUAGAUUGAGGGAUUUAUUUCUUAUGAACUACCGUGUUGUUAACAUAUCUACAGAGUACCAAAUGAUUAAUACAAAUAAAAGUAGAAUAUUGACAAACAAUAAGUAAACAAUUAAAUAGAAAACGCUCCACAAAAUCCAUGAAUCCAAUAUCACCGAUUUCAUAUCAUGAAACAUGCAAUUUACAUGCAUUACUAUUGCUACUUACUUAUUGUAAUAGUUACUAAGCUUGAGUGCAUAAACCUCAAAAAGGUGCCGCGACUUGGCCCUAGGGUCUCAACAAUUAAAUUCCACUGCAAUUUCAACAAGUGCACAACAUUGUCAGAGCAACUAAAAACUCAUGUUGAAGAAAUACUAAUAGUCAUCACGAUCAUACCUCAGCUUGAGUAAAGUAAUCAUCAACCAUGUGCAUAUUGGCUUCUGCUGGAGUCCACCCAAAUGUCUGCAUUUUUCUUAUAACUCAAUCACCCAGACUCAUAAUCAUUGGUGAACACCACAAAUCACUUUAACUAUCAUAUUCAGAAUAUAUUCGAAAAAUUCACAGCUUAAGUACAGACGAUCGAUCACUGGGUAAACUGCAAAGAACUGCAUCUGAUUUCCAACUAUAACUACCAACAGUCUGUUCAUUGAUAUGGAUUUUUUAUACAUACAUAUUUACAAGAAAAAAGAUUCUAACAAUAUUCAGGACCAUCAAAUACACAUGCAGGUACACACAAAAGAGUUCCUGUUACCUCACGAGAGAUGAAAAUAUCUGGAAAUCCAUAAUCAAUAAAAGCUUGGUAAGAGUAGUAGCUGCAAGCACAUAUCACGUGUUCUUAGUUUUAUUAAUCAAUUGAAAAAUAUAAAAGAGAAAAGGAAAUUUUGUGUAUGAAAAAGUAGCUAAAAUUUGGAUUCAUUCAAAUAAAGGGGAAAGUUAGCAUUAGGCAUAAAAAGGCUGGGAAGCUUCAUUAGGGCCUGUUGACACCUUUUGCCUAUUAUUACAAAAAGGUCCAUUUACACCAAGGAUUUCUCAAAUUAUGAAAAUGGAAGCUUGAAUAGACCAUCAAAAAGUAAAGCAAGAGCAUUGAAGAUUUGUCAGACUAUGAACCACCAAAGAACCUGUCAAAUUUGCCAGGGAUUAGCCUAAGCAUGCAAUGAAACAGUUGGACCUUUAUUAACUUUAGUACUUGAUCGAAGGGAUCUGCAAGAAUUUAAUCUUAUUGUUGCUGGCUAUAAAGCAGAAUGGGAAACUGUCAAGCAAUGCUUAGGAAUGUGCAAGAUCUAGCACAGAAGCUAAAUCACUGCCAUUUCAAUCAAAUUCAUUUAUCCAUCAACAAAUUAUUUCUAAUUGUAAAAAGUUUAAAGGUUUCAUUUUUUCCAAAUUAGACAUGUAAAUAAGCUAUUGUCACACAAAACAUGAAACUUCUAAACUUUUAGGAAGCGUAAUUCUCCAAAAAGAAUGUAAAUGUUGGAUGGAAAGGUUUAAGAUAUAAUUAUGAAAAAUUUUAUGCUUCUAUACUACUCUUUGAUCAAGCAAGAAACGGAUGAUUUUGAGGGGUUGGACUCAUGAAUCACACACUGCUAAUGACAUGUGAAAAAGGGAUGGGCUGGCAGCACUACCAAAUUCUACUUCUAACUUCUGAUUCUCCUACCAAUCUUAAAACUUCUAAUCUUCUCUAGAGUUAUUUAGUUACAGGAUUUCUGAAAAUCCACACAAUCAGCAUUAUGCAAUAUUCAUAACUACAAAGGGACUAUCACCACUAAAAGAAGUAUAAGAUGUACAAAACUUUAAGAAAUUACUCAAAUUACAAAAAAUCCACUGAAUUGAUCAAAUUCUACCAGUUAAUUAAAUAAAACAGAGUCAAAUAAUGGUAUCUGAAAUACAGAACAAAUUGAACAGUGAGAUUGAAAAUUCUAGAACUUCACAACAGAAUGAUCACUAACUUCCUCUCGAGGGAUGUGGACCUACUUUAACAAGCCUAUAGUUUAGCCUGUCCUGCUAUGAUAGGUAAUCUAACAUGGGUACAGUUUCACAUUCUUGAAUAACUAGAUGUCACACUCUUUCAGCUUUGGGUUGUGAAAAAAAUGCAACUACUUUCUUUUAAUAAAAAAAUUACUUAUAAAAGUUCAUACUUCAUACAGAAGAAAAGCUAAGAUUUACAAUUCUGAAUCUCUCUUUAAGUUAAACUAGCAAUCAAAAGUUGUAAAUAUUUCUAAUUUUUUUAAAAAAAUUUUUUAGUGUAAACGGGAGAGCUCGAACCCGACACCACUCACUUAGACUCCCUCCCCCAAACCACCCAACCCGUCCCCCCCCCCAAGGUAAAUAUUCUAAAUUCUAUUAAAUAAAAAGUUAUUAAACAACUGUUUCUUAACUCUAUAACCAUCAAAGUCCAAAAUCCAUGUUGGAACUGAACACAUUUAUUAAAUACAUUUGAGUUUUCACUUUCUAGUCUUGUAGCCAUUCCUUUUUCUUGUACUAUACCUGGCAGCACUCUAAGAGUGUUAUAAUGAAAUAGAGUAAAAGGACUAGGAAAACAUCAAGGUAUGCAUAUCUGCUGUCAUCAACAUUCCACUUCAAAAAUCACUAAAUUGGCACAAUUAGUAUGUUUGCUCCUAUAAGUUAUCAACGCACAAUUGAAGUAAAAUAAAGAAUAUUUGAUGACUUGUAGUUUUAAGUGAAAAAAAUUUGAUGAUGCCAUUUUAGUAGUUGUACAGACCAAGACCACAAUUGAUGAUCCAGAAAUCCUGUGUUAUCUCCUAAUUCUGGUGCUCUGACAUCCAGAGAAGUAAGAUUAUAAAUGAACUAUCUAUCGGCAGGGGGAAAGAAAACUUUUAACAAUCUACAGUAAGCUGGUAUCACAUGUUGUCCAUAAGGGACUAAAGCAGACCCAGCACAUAAGCGUCCCGCAAGCUAGGAAGGGCUAAGUGGGCUUGGCAUUAGUCCUGGACAUCGAGUGGCUUUAUGAAUUUUUAAACCAAUAACUCCCUAGGUCAGGAAAAAAGCAAACUUACCUUGUGACAAGGCAUAUACCAAGUGAUCUUCAUGAAAGUUGUAGGAAUUCGUCUUAGCUUCGAAAUGGUAUAAUUUUCACACCAAUCCGAUAAGCGUAGCCUCAGAUGUGUUCUUUCCGCAAAACUCGUCAAAUCUGUCUUUUGUAAACUUCAUUUCCGCACUUGUUAUUAGUUGAUUUAUGUCCUUGUAUUGUCUUGAGCCUAUGGAACGGCUAUUGAAAUGCAUUUGUGUUGUGUGUACCUUUGGGUUUGAAUGAGAAAAAUAAUGAAGCCAAAAUGGCUAGAAAAUGAGGUAAACACAAAGGGCAUGCUGCCCAAAUUUACGCUCGAGAACUAGAGAACUAUACUUGCAACUUGAGUAAGGACUUGGCCGAAUUUAUACCCUUGAGAAAUAAAAUAAUGACUGCUCGGAGUACGUUUUCUUUGUCACUUCGACUUAAAUGGAGAUUUCAAAGUUUUACGAGCAAGCAUAAGUUUUACAAAUAUUUUACUCAUAACCUUUGGUUUAAAUGUACUCUUUUCACUUCCAAAACUAUACUUAUAUUUUGUACUAGUAGUUAUUCGAAUUUUCUUUGGUUCACUUAAACUUUGGAGGGGUUUAACUGUAAUAUUUUCUCUUGGCUAUUAUUAGGGUUUCUUGGCGAUUGAGAGUGUUAUCCGAGAGGAUACUUUGGACAUUAUUUUGCUUAAAUAGGUGAGUGUUCCUUGUUUGCUAUAUUUUUCUUGACUUCAUGAUUUGUGUUCUUAUUUGAUAAUGUGUUAAGUACUUUCAAGGAUUCCCAAAACGAGUUUUCUAGGCGAGCGUGUACUUUACCACGCUCGACCUAAAUGAAAUAUGAAAUUUUCAAUGAUUAAAUGUUGAAAUACUAGUUGCGCAUGAAUGUAAGCCUUUUUGGCUGAACUGGACCCUUGCCCUUGUUGCCGAUCGACUCGAGCCAGAAGCGGACUCGGUCGGGCGAUUUGGUGACCUGGGUGAACGUUUGGUAUACUCGAGUUGUGACGCCCUAAAAAGAAUGAGAGUGAGAACUCGGAAAUUUUCUAAUUUUCUAGGGUUUAUUUUUUUUUAAUCGCCCGCCUUUUCUACAUUUUCUUUAUUAGAAAAAUUCCCCAGAUAAAGUUUAUGGGCAAAGAUAGUUUUAAAAUCAUUUUUCUAGUAUCGGUUAGUUUUUGAGAAAUUAAGAGCGUAUUUUGAACGUGGGACCCGCAAGUGCGGUAAAUGCAUUAUAUUUUUGACAACUUGUUGGAAAUUUGUAUUAAGUGAUAUUAUUUUACAAAGUGUUAAGAUAUUUGUAUUAGAGAGACAAAAAGAUAAGUUUUAAACCUAAAGGUGACAAGUGUCACCAUAAGAUUUAGUCUUGAGUUUGACUACUAUUCAUAACUUUACCAUUUAAUUAAAAUUGGCCAAAAAUCUCUUCAUUUUGCAAGCUUCUUGGCCGAAUUCUCUUGCUCAAAAAAGGGAAGAAAAGCUCUCAAUUUUCUAGUCUCCAAUCUUGCCCAAUCUUUCAAUUAAACCGAUUAAUCUUCCAAUUACUCUAUAAAACCUCUUAGCUUGGUGGAGUGGAGCUUGGUUGUGAAGUUGUUUGGAAAGUUAAGGUGACUAGUUGCUCUAUAUCUUGUAUUGCUAAGGUGAGUUGUGAAGUACCCCUUUCCUUCCUCUAAUGAUGUUCAAUUCAUGAUUGGUGGUGGUAUAAGAUGCACUUUUAUGGAUUAUAUCUUGGUUUUGGUUGAAUUGGUGAAGUUUUAUAAUUAUUGGGGAUUUUUCUGUUUUCAUAUGGAUAUGAUUGUGUGGUUAAAUAUGAUGAUUGGAAAUGGUAUAUAAUGACUCUAGAAGGUGGAAAAAGUGGAUUAUUGCAAGCAAUUUCUGUUUUGGAAGAAAUUUUGGAAAGUUAGGGUUUAUGAUUGUGCAUUCUGCCCGAAUUUAUAGCUCAUAUAUAGAGGCCGAAUUGGCCUUGUCUUAAAACAUGAAAGUUGUAGGGAAUGACAUUUUAGAGGUGCCUACAAAAUUUCAGGUCAAUCGGAGUAGUGUAGAAUGAGAAAAGUCGAAAUUACUAUUGCUGUUCUGGUUUUACCCGAAUGUAAGAAUUGCGCCUGUAAUUGGUUGUUUUGGCUGGAAUUUAUUCCGAAUUGGUUGUUGAUGUCUUCUGAUGAAAUUUAUCCCUGUUUCUUAGCUUUCAAAUGGUUUUGUAAUUUCUGGAUUUGGACUUGGAUAGCCUGCUUUAUGAUGUUUCCGCUAGAAUGCGUUCUGUGAAUCUGUUUUUGUGAUUCUGGUAUGGUAUCUUGCAUUUUUGACCUGGUUACACUCGAAACUGGGUUGAGUGACCUUCUUAAAUGUUGUAUCCCUGUAUUUUAGCUUCGAAACGGUGUAUCUUGCACCUUCAUCCGACAAUCGUAGCGCCUUUGGUACCAUUACCGUAAAAUGACGUCAAAACUGUUUUUCUGGUUUUGAGCUUAACUUUCAUUUCCGGACUUUUCCCUAGCUUGACUUGUACUAGUACUACUUGGAGCUUGCUGAAUGGCUAUUGGAUGAACUUGUUGUUGUGUGUGUACCUUUGGGUUGGAAUGAGGAAAUAAUGAAGCCAUGAUUGCUGGAAAAGUUAGCAAAUUCAGGGGAAGUGCUGUCCGAACUUUGAAGGGAUUUGUUUGCAUUGAGUUUGUGAUCUAAGACUUGGAUUUGAGCAAGGCAAUGUUAUAUGAUGGAUGAUUUCUGAGCCAUGGAGGUGAGUGACCCUAAACUAUUUCCAAAGUAGUUGUGAAACGUUUCUUGCAUUAUUUACUUUUGAACUGUUUCCAAAGUUACUUUUGAACUGUUUUCCUGCAUAUCAUGCGUGCUUAUAUGAGAGUGUUCCUUGUUUGAUAUAUUUCCUUGACUUAUUGGCUUGUUAUUAUGGAAUGAUAAUGUGUUAAGUGCUUUCAAUGAUUGUUAAAACGAGUUUUCUGGGCGAGUGUGUACUUUAUCGCACUCGACCUAAAUAAAUGUGAAAUUUUCAUGAUUAAUGAUUAAAUGUUACUUGCGCAUAAAUGUAAGCCUUUUGGGCUCAACUGGCCAUUGGCCCUUGUUACCGAUCGUCUCGAGCCAGAAGCGGACUCGGUCGGGCGAUUAGGGACCUGGGUGAACGUUUGGUAUACUCGAGUAUUACCUUUGUAGGUUGGUGGAGCCUGGACGAUGUCCGGGAAAGGUUGAAUGAAAAAAUGCAAUUUCAAAUGAAAAAAAAGGGAAAUGACAGGAGAACGAACGUAUCCUUUUCAUGAAUGUUACUAUCGCUUUCCAUUGUACAUGUUUCUUGAAUUAUUGAUACUCCAUAUUUAAUGUUUUGUAAAUGUUGUAAUUGUUUAUGGACUUAUCAUUUGAUUUAUGACAUCAUUGAAAUGAACUAUUGUUAAAUCGAUUUGAUUACUGAUUUUACCGGUUACUCGCUGAGCUUCUAUCUCACCCCAAAAAUAUUUUAUUCCCCUCCACAGGGCUCAAAGCGAAGGAAGGACUUGUUGUGCUUAUUCACAUGUCUGGAUGGCCUAUAUCUUGUACAGUUUGGAUUUGGAAUCAUUUUAUGUAUAGUUGGGAAUUGUUUCCGCUUCGCUUAUGACAUGUAAUUUUUGGAGAAUUUGAUGUAUAUUGGAGAUUUAUAUUGUAAUAUUUGAGGUUUAUUCUUGUAAUUCAUUUGAGGAUUGUAGUGAACGACUGAGUCCCGGCGAGAGUUGGGCCGGCGGCCCGCCGAACCCUCUGGUUCGCCUUAGGGGGAGGUGGGGCUGUCACACGAGUAUUACCUUGUAGGUUGGUGGAGCCUGGCCAAUUUCCAGGAGGGGGUGAAUGAAACGAAAGAACAAACGAGGGUUUACUUUAAAAAAUGCAUUUCCAAAGAAUGGAGGAAUAAGAGGAAAUGUCAGGAGAACGAACAAACGAACGAAAUUAUGGCUCCUUGUGAGCCCGUAUCCUUUUAAUGUAUGUGUUAAUAUCGCUUUCCAUGGCAAAUGUUUCUUGAAUUAUUGAUGCUCUAUGUUUAAUGUAUUGGAUUGAUUAUUUGAUUAUGUGUUCGGAACCUCACUGAGCUUUUAGCUCAUCCCUUUAGUUUUAUUUUCCUUAACAGGGGAAGGCACGCAAGGAUGAGAGCUUGGUAUAGACUAGCUUGGUCUAGGUCUUUGUUUUUGUAAUGGUUCUCGCCCUAGUGCUUGGCACGGACUGGUUGUAUGGUGAAGUGAGAACCUUUGUACAUUUGAUGGUUGUACUUCCUUUUGAGAUAGCAAUGUAUAUAUAAGUUUCACUUAAGUUUUGGAUUGUUGUAUGUUAUCCCUUUGGUUGUAUUUCGGAUUUGAUUAAGGAACGACUGAGUCCCGGCGAGAGCUGGGCAGGCGGCCCGCCGAACCCUUUGGUUCGCCUUGGGGGGAGGUGGGGCUGUCACAAAGACUAUCAGCCACGAAAAUUAUCUUGAAAACCUCCAGAAAAUUGGGAGUUGUGUGUGUCUACAACCAUCCCAAAUAGCUGACCCUUCACCAGCCACAAACCCGUAAUUAAACCCUACUCCAAAUACAAGUGGGAUUGGGUUUGCUUAAGUUGAGCAAGCUGUCCAAGAUCUUGUUUGACAGCCAACCAAAUCCUUGUGGGGAAAGGAAAGGGGGAAUAUUUCCAGAAAUUAAUCCAAGAACCUUCGCUUGUCCUCAUUUCCUAAAUUUGGUGCAACAAUAACAAGCGGCAACAGCAUCCUUCGGCUAGUGUUUUGAGUCCGAUUGUUGUAGUUCUUGAGUCGGUUGUCCAGCUCUCUAUUUCGGCCUAUUCCAAUCAUUAACAUUCAUUUUUAGAGCCUCAGUUUAGCGUCUCAAAUUCCAGUUUCAAGUGUCGGUCAUUUGGUCAUUAAUUGUGUCAUCCAACUAGUCCUUCAUCCGUCACAUUUCCAUCUUUAUUCAUUCCACUGUCCAAUCUCCUCUAUUUCACUUCAAAUCUGACCAAGCCUCAUUCAAGUCAAUUCUUGAUUGAAGCUAGUUGGCUUUUGAGGAAAACUCUUCUGAUUUCUUCAAAGGAAGCAAGUGGAGGCCUUGAGAACAAUUUUGCGAGGAAUAAUUGAAGGAAAGUUCGAGUGAGUACACGAGCGAGAGUGCAUACACGUGAGGGAGCGGGUGAGGACAACACUUUGUUUCUUAUUUUUACUUGUUUUGCAGGUUAUUUGUGACAGCCCCACCUUCCCCUAAGGCGAACCAAAGGGGUUAGCGGACUGCCUGCCCAACUCUCGCCAGGACUAACGGUUCAGUAUAGAGCGAUCUAUUGCGUUCCGGAACUUAUAACGCGCGUAAAUAAGGCAAAAGGGCAAAAUAACCCAAAAUAAAAAAAAAUAAAAUUCGGAGUCGACAAUGAAUAGGAACCGACCCGUCAGAACGCAACCAAAUAUCAAACAAACAUUCACAUCUUGAACUUUAGCAAUUACAAUCCAAAGUGACAUACAAAAGUUCUCAAAAGUUAAUAUAUACACGGUUUGCCAAAUUGAAAGUGAAAACGGCCCUAAAGAUACAUUUAGGGUUUCACUUCAUAUACAAUACAAAAGAGAUAUACAUCUAGUUCAUUCGGCAACCAUCUAUCAAGAUUCAUUCCAAAAAAAGAGUCAUAUUCCUGUAAGGAAAACAAAAUGAACGGUGUGAGCUAAUUGCCCAGUGAGAUACUAUCACUUACGCAACCAAGUGCAUAUAAGCAUCAAGCUUUCAUUCAAUAUAGUAAAAUAAGCAAAGGUACACGUCAAAUAUGGUGACAAAAGGAUACGGAUGGCUCUCAAGAGCCCUUUCCUCAUUUGCAUUUCUUGAUCGAACGUCAUUGACUCUCCGCCAAUGUUCAAAAGUAACCAACCGUAGACUCCACUUUACUCCCACUCCUUCCACCUAACAUCCCCCUACCGGGCCCGAAAUCCAAACACUUGCACUUUGGUAUUACUCGAGUAUACCGGAAUCGAGAGUCUCGCAUACUACAAGAUUCCAUAUAACUUUACCCAAGGUUCAUUAAUUGGCACGACCAAGCCCUCGCCGGCUCGAUUCAAUCAACUACCAAUGGGGUUGAGCUCAAUGAUAACAUUUGUAGUCAUUGGAUACUCGUCCAAUCAACACCAAGUCAAGUACUUUCAUUUCAUGUAACAUUUCAUGUAACAUUCCAAUAACAUGACAACAAUGAUAUAAGGCAUAUAAGUGAGAGUGAUAAAGUACACUUUCACUUCAAUCAAGUCACAUUCAAUUCACUUCAAACAAUUUACAUUCAAAGCCAUAUAGUAACACACAAGUGAGUAGUACACUCACCAAGCUCGCAAAUGUGGUUUCAUGCACUUCCGUCAAAAAACGUUGUGCACCACGGUCACACCCUAAAACAUGCAAACAAAUACAAUGAGACUCGAUAACGAGUCAUAAACCAAGGCCAAAUGACCCCAAUAGGAUUCCAUAAGCAUAUACAAACAUUAAAGGAAACCAGAAAAUUCGGAAAUGCAAUUAGCUUUGGCCCUGAAAAAAACAGUUUUUGUCCUCAUUUUGCGGUAAUGGCACCAAUUUCACUACGACUAUCGGAUGAAGGUGUACGACCCACCGACUCGAAACUAAAAGACAGGGCUACAACAUCACAGAAGGUCACUCAAUCCAGUUUUGAGUGCAAACAGGUCAAAAAUGCAAGAUACUACAUCAAAAACGUAAAACAGAUUCACCACAAUGCAUUCUAGCGGAAACAUCAUAACUCAGGCUUUCCAAGACCAAAUCCAGAAAUUCCAAAAACCAACUGAAAGCUAAGAAACAGGGCUAAAUUUUAUCAGAAGACCUCAACAACCAAUUCGGAAGCAAUUCCAGCCAAAAUAACCAAUUACAGGCGCAGUUCUUACAUUCGGGUAAAACCAGAACAGCAAUAGUAAUUUCGACUUUUCUCAUUCUACACUACUCCGAUUGACCUGAUAUUUUGUGUAGGCAUCUUUAAAAUGUCAUUCCCUACAACUUUCAUGUUUUAAUCCAAGGCCAAUUCGGCCUCUAACUAGGAGCUAAAAAUUCGGGCAGAAUGUUCCUUCACAAAACCUAAUUUUCUGAAAUUUCUUCCAAAACAGAAAUUGAUUGCAAUUAACCACUUUUUUCACCUCCUAAAGUCAUUAUAUACCAUUUCCAAUCAUCAUAGAUAGCCACACAAUCAUGCUUAUAUUAAAACAGAAAAAUCCCCAAAAAUAAUAAAACUUCAUCAAUUCAACCACAAAUCAAGAAUAUAAUCCAUAAACUGGCAUCUCAUACUACCCCUAAGCAUGAUUUAAGCAUCAAUCAAGGAAGGAAAGUGGUUCUUCACAACUUACCUUAGAAACAAGAGAGAGAGAGCAAUUGGUCACCUUAACUUUCCAAAUAACUUCACACAACAACUCACAAACACUACUUGAAGAUGUUUUAUGGAACAAAGACAAGUUUAAAUGGUUGGUUUAGUGAUUUGGAGCAAGAUGGAAUCAAGAAAUUGAAGAGGUUUUCUUUCUUUCCUUGCUUAAGAGAUUCGGCCAAGAGGAAGAGAAGAAUGAGGGAUUUUUGGUGAAUUUUUAAGAUAUUUAAGUCAAUUGGUAAGACAUGCAAUAGUAGUCAAAUUGUCCAACCAAUAGCCAAGUGACACUUGUCACUUAUUUAAUGCAAGUCUAUCACUUUGUUCCCUCUCACAUCAAUCCAAAUAGCUUCCUCUAAUUAUCUCUUAACACCCGGUAAAUUAAAUCCAGUAUCCAAAACUUAAUCUAGUUGGCCGAAUUUUUCCGAACUUUUCGCACUAGUGGGUCCCACGUCCGGUAUACGCUCUUAAUUUCUCAAAACCUAUUCGAUACUAGAAAAAUCAUCUAAAAAUUAUAUCUGCUCCUUAAAAGUAUCUAGAAAUUUUUCCUAAUCACGAAAAUGCAGAAAACAAGCCACGGAAAAUAAUACAACCUAGAAAAUGGGAAAAAUACGGGUUCUCACAUUAUUCAAAUAUGUCGCAAGGAGGAGAAAAGGGCAAUCCACCACCAAGUGGCUUUCCAUUUGAUGUAAAGCUAUUGGCGGAGGCGUUGGAGGCAAAAUUCAAAAGGAUGUUAGACGACGCUUUGGAACCUCUCCAUAGCGAGUCGUCCCGCAACAAAGGAUCCCCGGAUACACCUCAUAGUUCUCGUGGGAAGUAUAAGAUUGUGGAGUCCGAUAGUUCCAAUGACGAAGAGGAAUUCAUUAGGCGUCCCAAGCCUAAACCACAGACCCGAGAAGAAUCCUUCGACCCUUUCAAAGGCAUUAAGAUGAAAAUUCCAGAAUUUAAGUGGAGAUCGGAUCCAGAAGCCUACUUGGAGUAGGAGUCGAAGGUCGAGAUGAUCUUUGCUUGCCAAAACUAUACAGAUGAACAAAAGGUGAAGUUGGCCGUGAUCGAAUUUAGUGAAUACGCCGUGGUAUGGUGGGAUCAACUUACCACAUCACGAUGAAGGAGUAGACUAUCGAAGAUCAAGUCGUGGACCGAAUUGAAGGGCAUGAUGAUGACCCGAUUUGUGCCAAGCCAUUACUAUAGAGAUUUGUACCAACGGUUAGAAACUCUUAUGCAAGGCACUAGGAGCGUUGAUGAAUAUCACAAGGAGAUGGAAAUUCUCAUGCUAAGGGCUGAUGUUCAAGAAGACAAGGAAGCAACCAUAGCGAGGUUCUUAAAUGGACUCCGAACUGAAAUCACCGAGAAGGUUGAGUUGGAGCACUAUUUAGAGCUUCAUGAGUUGAUGGCAAAAGCUGAAAAGGUGGAGCACCAUCUCAAGAGGAGGGGUAACACAUGGGCUGGAUAUUCUUACUCUACCUCAAACUCAAGGCAAUUCACUCCAAGGAACGAGCGAAGGAGCGAGGACUGAGGAGGCUUUAAUCAAGCCAAAGCUGAUUUUCCUAGUAAAGCAAAGGUCAAGACACCUAAGGGGGACAACAAAGGAAAAUUGGUGACCAACCAAGCCAAGGUAGGAGGAAGAGAUGAUCGAUGCUUCAAGUGCCAAGGACGGGGACACAUUGCCAAGCAUUGUCUUAAUUAACAGAUCAUGCUAGUCCUACCUAAUAGGGAAAUUGUCACUGAUGAUGAAGCCAAAUAUGUUGAUAUGCCACCCUUAGCUGCGGAUGAAGAUGACUCGGAUGAAGGAGAAGAACGUGCACUUGAGGGUGAAGUGGGAUUCGAUCUUGUUGCACGAUGAACCUUAACCGCACGACCCCUAGAGGAUGAUAAGCAACGAGAAAACAUCUUCUAUACACGUUGCUUAGUCCAAGACAAGUUAAGCAGCCUUAUCAUUGACGGCGGCAGUUGCACGAAUAUUGCUAGUGCUACUAUGGUGGAGAAGUUGGGCUUGCCAACUACGGAGCACAUCCGCCCUUACAAACUUCAAUGGCUUAAUAAUAGUGGAGAGGUUCAAGUAGCCAAACAAGUGUUGGUCUCUUUCAAGAUAGGUCGCUAUGAAGAUGAGAUUCUGUGUGACGUGGUGCCCAUGCAUGCAAGCCACAUAAUCCUUGGGCGACCAUGGCAAUAUGAUAGGCGAGUGAACUUCAAGGGCAUGAGUAACAAGUAUUCCUUCAUGUAUAAGGACCGCAAGAUCACUCUUGCACCCCUAUCGCCUAAGCAAGUUCGUGCAGACCAAGAGAAUCUUCAAAAGGAAUUCGAGCUAGAAAGUGAGCGAAGAAAGAAGGAACUUAAAGCCGAACAAAAUGAAAAGAAAAAGGCCCAUGUGCAUUCGGCUAGGGAGGAAAAGAAAAGAAAAGAGGAGAAAAAUGAGGGAAAACAUUUGAUGCUCAUCAAAGCCAAACAAGUACAGCGAGCUAUGAGUGCAUGACAACCACUACUUGUACUUGUGUGCAAGGAAGUAGGGUUGUCCGAUGAUGAUCCAUUUACUAACUUCCCAACUAUUGUUGUUCCACUUUUGCAGGAUUACAAGGAUGUCUUUCCCGACGAUCUUCCAAGUGGUUUACCACCCAUUCACGGGGUUGAGCGCCAAAUAGACUUUGUACCUGGAGCAACCAUAGCCAGUCAUCCAUCUUACAAGAGCAAUUCCGAGGAAACAAAGGAACUGCAACGUCAAGUGGACGAGUUGCUAGACAAGGGAUGGGCGAGAGAGAGUUUGAGCCCUUUCGCGGUACCGGUGAUUCUAGUACCCAAGAAGGAUGGAGCAUGGCACAUGUGCACCAACUGCCGAGCUGUGAAUGCAAUUAUAGUAAAGUAUCGUCACCCUAUACCUAGGUUAGAUGAUAUGCUUGAUGAGUUACAUGAUGCGGUCAUUUUUACCAAAAUUGACUUAAAAUGCGGGUAUCAUCAAAUUCGAAUUAAGGAAGGAGAUGAAUGAAAAACUGCUUUCAAAACUAAGUAUGAUUUUAUGAAUGGUUAGUAAUGCCUUUCGGGUUAACCAAUGCACCUAGCACCUUUAUGCAGCUUAUGAAACAUGGCUUAAGGCCAUUCUUAGAAAAAUUUGUAGUAGUUUACUUUGACGAUAUCCUUAUCUAUAGUCGUAACAUGGAAGAGCAUCUUGAACAUUUACAAGCUAUUUUGGAUGUACUUCGAAGGGAGAAACUAUACGCUAAUCUCAAGAAGUGCAAUUUUUGUAUUGACCAUCUUAUGCUUUUAGGAUUUGUGAUUAGUGCACAGGAUAUCCAAGUGGAGGAGUCUAAGGUACAGGAUAUCCAAGAGUGGCCAACCCCUAAGUCAAUUGGUGAUGUGCAUAGCUUCCAUGGACUUGCAGGUUUCUAUAGGCGAUUUGUGAAGGAUUUUAGUACCCUGGCCGUCCCACUCACUGCACUCAUUAAGAAAAACGAGAAGUUCAUCUGGGAGGAGGAACAAGAGCAAGCCUUUCAGGCGCUAAAGGAUAAGUUAACACAUGCACCUGUUUUAACCUUGCCUGACUUUGCUAAACCUUUUGAAAUUGAAUGUGACGCUUCAGGGAUAGGUGUUAGAGCCGUGUUGAUGCAAGAAGGUAGGCCGGUUGCAUACUUUAGCGAGAAACUCAACGGGGCAGCACUGAACUACUCGACAUACGACAAGGAAUUAUAUGCAUUGGUUCGAGCACUACGGGUCUGGCAGCACUACUUAAGACCCAAGGAGUUCAUAGUUCACACCGAUCAUGAGUCUCUCAAAUAUUUGAAGGCACAACACAACCUUAACAAGAGGCAUGCGCGAUGGGUUGCCUUCAUCGAGACAUUCCCGUUCGUCACCAAGUAUAAGAGUGGUAAGAGUAAUGUAGUGGCCGAUGCACUAUCCCCCAGGUAUUCUCUACUCACUACUCUUGAUGCUAAGUUACUCGGUUUUGAGUUGAUCAAAGAUAUGUAUGUGAGCGAUAUCGACUUUGGUGACACGUUCCAGAAUUGCUCUCGAACUGCCCAAGGCAAUUACUCGAUUUUUUAUGGUUACCUAUUCUACCUAAACCGCAUGUGCAUGCCUAACUGUUCCAUUCGACUCUUAUUAGUAAAGGAAGCACAUGGAGGUGGUUUAAUGGGCCAUUUUGGAGUUGCUAAGACUCUUUCUAUAUUGCAGGAGUAUUUCCACUGGCCACAAAUGCGGGGUGAUGCUGAGAAGGUGGUGGGCCGAUGCAUUGUAUGCAAGAAGGCAAAAUCUAAGGUACAACCUCAUGGUUUAUACUUGCCUUUACCAAUUCCUUAUGCACCUUGGGUAGAUCUUUCAAUGGACUUCAUUCUUGGCUUACCUAGGUCUAAGAAAAGGCAUGACUCUAUUUAUGUAGUUGUUGAUUGGUUUUCAAAAAUGGCACACUUUAUUGCUUGCCAUAAAACGGAUGAUGCAUCUCACAUAGCAUACUUGUUUUUCAAAGAAAUUGUUAGGCUGCAUGGCAUUCCUAGGACCAUAGUGUCUAAUAGAGAUGUCAAAUUUCUCUCUUAUUUUUGGAAGACUUUGUGGUCAAAGUUGGGCACUAAAUUACUAUUUUCAACCACUAGUCAUCCACAAAUCGAUGGACAAACCGAGGUUGUCAAUCGCACACUCUUUACUCUUUUACGCACUAUCAUCAAAUCUAACUUGAAAAAUUGGGAGGAGUGUCUACCUCACGUAGAGUUUGCAUAUAAUAGGGCUAUGCAUUCCACUACUCAAUACUCUCCAUUUGAAAUUGUUUAUGGGUUUAACCCCUUGACACCUUUGGAUUUGACCCCGUUACCUUUGAGUGAAAGAGCUAACCUCAAUGGGCAACAAAAAGCUAAUUUUGUUCGAAGGUUACACGAGAAGGCUCGGUUGAACAUAGAGAAGCGUACGGCCCAGAUUGUUCAACAAGCCAACAAAGAAAGACGCAAGCUCAUGUUCGAACCAGGUGAUUGGGUUUGGCUACACCUGCACAAAAAGCGAUUCCCCAUCCAACGCCAUAGCAAGCUUUCACCUCGUGGUGAUGGACCAUUCCAAGUCCUUGAACGCAUCAAUGACAAUGCCUACAAACUAGACCUGCCUAGUGAGUAUGGUGUUAGUGCUACAUUCAACAUCUCUGAUUAAGUCCAUUUGAUGUAGGUGAUGCACUUGAUUUAAGGGCAAAUCCUUUUCAAGAGGAAGGGAAUGAUGCGGUCAUCCAAGCUCCUACCAAGGACGUGGUGAUACCAACCAGACCAAUCACCAGAGCUCGUACCAAGCGAAUGAAGGAGCAAUUGAAUAUAUUGGUACGCACGGUACAAGAAACUAAGGAAGGUAGUUCGAUCUUUGAAGGUGGUUCGGAGUACGUGACUCUACUCCAACUAGAGGAUCAAGACCCUUGACACUAAGCAUUACGGGUCACAAGAGGAGUCAAGCCUCGAAAGCUUUAUGUUAAUUAAUUUCGUUUGAGAACUAGUAGAAUAAAGCAAGUGACUCAAAUUAAGAAGUCCUUGCCAAUCUUAGUCAUUAGUAUUAUUGUUUAAAGGUUAAUUUUGGCCAUGGUCCAUUUGUUAAAGUUCGGUCCAUGAAGGGCCAUAGUUGGGCCGAUUUCUAGUUUCCAAGCUUCAUUAGGAUUUGAGUUGUAAGAAGCUAUAAAUAAGCUACAAACCUACAAUACUAAUCAGAUUUGAUUCAUUAAUAAAAUUGAAAGAAUUCUCUUGGCUUCUUGCAAGCACCCCUUGAACAUCUUAGAUAUUUUUCUAGGAAGUUCAACUUAACUUAUCAAAUAAGAAACGCACUUGUUUUUGGCUCCACUCUACCAAAUUUUCUUGGUUCGCUAAUUCGUUAAGUCGCGGGUUAAGAUCGUAUCAAGAGUAUUCGCAACUUAGAGGGUUAGAUUGGGUCGAAAGGGAUUCUGCCAACAAAACCUGGAAAAUUCUCCAUCAAGAUCGUGGGCUUUGUGAGGAUGAAUUUCACCGUCGUGGAGGAAUUCACAUCAAAAAGACAACUUCGAGAAAUUUUUGCAACCAUUGUGCAAAUCCUAUUGAGAAUCAUCAAUUAAUUUGUAAAAUUUUUCAGCCUCUAAAACAGGAAUAUCCCCUUCUCUAUUCAAUUCACUUGUUCCAUGUGGUAUCCCAAAUAUAUCAUGGACCAAGUCUUGCAUGUCAUUAGUCCUAUUUGAAACCCCAAUUGAUGUAUUUUCAGAAUCAGAUGUGGCUUCAUUGUAGUUUGAAAGUUCUUCAUGUGCCAUCCAAUUAUUAUAACCCUUGAUAAAUCCUACCACUUUUAAAUGAUCAUAUGCUUCCAUUCUAGUCGCACAAACACCCAUGCCGCAAUCUUUGCAAGGACACAAAAUCGUCAUAACUUGAUCUAGAAAAUGCAAAUUCCGGAAACAUUUUAAGUCCUGCCUCGUACUUUUCACUUAUUCUUGGAAAAUCUGUGAGGACUGGAAUUUUCAUUUUUACUUACUUUUAUUUCAUUUUACUGGUUUAUUUAAUUAUUUAUUUAUCCGUUUAUUCCGAAUAAUUGAUUACAUUCACUUCAAAUCCAUUUGUACGCAAAAAUGUCUCAUUUAUAUUUUUUAAACGUUUCGUUAGCGAAUUUAAUUUUUCUGUGACUCAUUUAGCGAGAAAUAGUAAAUGCAUAUUUUUCAAGAAAAAUUCGGUCCGAAAGUCCCAUAAUCUUGUAGAAUUAAGAAUGAUCAAUAGUAGACUAAGAAAAGUUAAUUGAGGGAUUAGAUGUGAGUGAGUUAAGUUAAGCUCAAUUAGGAGCACUAAUUGCUCACUAAUCGGAUGUUGACUUUUGUGCACCAAGACACCUUUAUGUCAAAUCCUUCUUACACAACAUCACAUCACUACCUACCAACCAAAACUCUUCCUUCUUCUCUACUCCUUGGCCGAACCUCCCCUCCCUCAUUUCCCCUAAAAAAUUUCAGCUUUGUCUUCCAUUUUGCUCCACAAAAAGCUCUCCAAAAUUUCUCCAUCUCUUUGUUCUUCAUACAAGCUUGGAAGAGGACUUGAUCAAGGAAAAAACUUGGUGAUUUAGAAGCUCAAAUCCUAAUGUUUAGUCUUCUUAUUGGCAGCAAGGUAAUCAUCCAAGAAACCCUCAACUUUUCCUCUUCAAUUCAUAGUAGUAAGUUAGUAGUUAGUUAGUGAAAGCAAGAUAGUUGUUGGGUUGUUGAUGGGUUCACAAGAACCUUGACAUUAGGUUGUGGAUUUGAGGUGGCUUGAUAGGUAGAGACCUAGAGGAUUUUGUGUGUUUAAUUGCUUGUUUGUUACUUGCUUUGAUGAGAUAUGGUUUAGUUCUAGUUGCAAAGUUGAAAAGAAAGCUAGAAGAAUGAAAGUUGUAUGCUGGCCGAAAAUUUCUGGUUCUUCCUCUCAUGUUAAUUUCGAAAUUUUGAGGUUAUUUUGGUGCAAUAAUGCUUGAUAUAUGUUGGUGGUUAUGUGUAUGAAAUAUCUCCCAAAAAGCUUUCCAUUUGACUAUGUUAAAGUAGGGUUAAAGUGAGGAUGAAUUCUGGAAAUUUUCUGAGCUGAAAACCCCAAUCAGUGUUCACGUUUUAGGUCAUAACUUUCUUUCUGGGAGUUGAAAUCUGUUUAUCUCAACUCAUAUCUUUUAAUUAUUACAAAACAAUUGGAUGUUUCUAAUACCUUUUGUAGAGAUCCUUUUUCAGAAAUGAACCAAACAGGUCUGUGGAUUUAAAGCAGAAAAAGAAGAUAAAAAAGAAUGAAGUCUGCUGAGGAUGAUGUCGGACGCACAAAAGGAGAGCAUCGGACGUCCGACAUUCUUUGAGUAUCUUCGGACGAGUAAAGAACUCAGACUCGGACGUCCGACGAAGACAAGCCAGGAGUUACUUGAUUACUGAUCAGGAUCGGACGCUCAACACCUGUGUAUCGGACGUCCAACAGCACCAACGGCUAGUUGACUCUUCAGUUACCUUCUACCCGUUGACAGCAUUAAUUGAACAACCUUCUGGUCUCCUAUAAGUAGAACAAAGUCAACCACCUAAAGGAAACUUUGCACAUCAAGCCUACAUCAGAUUGUGAGUGAUUCUAGUGCUAGAAUACUCAAAAGGAACAUUUGUACUCUUUGCUUGUGUAAUCUUCAUGUAGUUUUUCAAGUGUGACACAGCUUCUUCAAUAGUGUAGCAUAGUGAGGGUUGUGAGUGUUUGUAAAACUUCCUUGCUUGACCAAGUGUGGUUUGGGGCAAGAAGGAAGUGAUCCCUUCCUUGUACACAAAAGAUUGGUUGCAAGUUUGUUCAACUUGAAGUAAUUUGGUAUAUAAAAGUGGUGUUCAAACCUCAGUUGUGUUUGAAGCCUGGUUUGUUUCUUUACUUUCAUUUACUACUUUUCUACAUAAACUGUUCUUCUCUUCAUCUCACGAAUACUUGUGCUUUUGUGUUAUCUCGUUCAUUGGGAGGUAUUUGAGAAAAGAAAGGUAGUCUGUGAAAAAGUGGACUAUAUCUUAGCAGGUUUUUUGAAAGCCUAAUUCACCCUCCCUCUUAGGUUGUCUUCGAUCCUUACAAUUGGUAUCAGAGCAUGGUCUCCUAGAGAUUAAGCUCAAGCGGCUUGGAGUAAAGAUAACAACCAGUCAUGCUAUGUUUGUUGAGGGGCAAUCUGUUACUAGGCCUCCCAUGUUUACUGGUUCCAAUUAUGUUAGUUGGAAAGAAAGAAUGAUUAUCUUCUUGCAAUCCAUUGAUAUUGAGCUGUGGUUUAUUGUGAAUGAAGGACCGCAUGAUGCUAACUUUCUUGAUGCAGAAACAGGUUUGUUGCGGCCAAAAACGAGAGCUGAGAUGAAUGCUCAAGAUAGAACCAAUCUCACAUUGAAUGCCAAAGCCAUGAAUGUUCUUUAUAGUGCCUUAGACUCAAAUGAGUCAAUUAGAGUAAAAGGGUGUAAAUUUGCCAAAGAAAUGUGGGAUAAGCUAAGAGAAAUUCAUGAGGGUAGUGACAACGUAAGAGAGCAGAAAAAGUCCAUUCUGGUCACCAAGUACGAAUCUUUUAAAAUGGAGCCUCAUGAAAACAUCGACAAAAUGUAUUGUAGAUUUAAUGAUCUGAUCAAGGAUUUAGAUGUGCUUGAGAAGGAGUACUCUCUAGGUGAAAAGAACAGAAAAAUUCUGAAUGCUCUAUCAAAGGAUUGGGAAAGCAAAGUGACUGUCAUAGAGGAAGCCAAGGAUCUAAAUUCCUUAUCCAUUGAAUCUCUGAUUAACUCUCUAACUUCUUACGAAAUGAAACUUAAAUCUAAGAUGCAGGAAGAAGAAGACACAAAAGGAAGGAAGAGUAUUGCUCUGAAAGCUUCACAAGAUGAAGAUGAAACAGCCUCACUGGAUGAAAAUGACUUGGAAGGUGAUGACAGUGAUAUUGCACUCAUCACAAGAGGCUUCAAAAGAUUUCUCAACAAGAGAAGAUUCAGGAAAGGCGGAUCCAGCAAUUCCUUCCAGAAUCAGACUAAUGACUUCAGAAAUAGAGGGAAACUAGAGUUCAACAAAAACCAAAACGAUAAAUGUUUUGAAUGUGGCCAACCUGGACAUUAUGCAAAUGAGUGUCCAAUGAAGAAAAAGAAGGAAAACAAGAUUGAACGAAAACCAAAGUUCAACAAUUUUCAAAUUACCUGGAAUGAUUGCAACUCAGAAGGUGAAGUUGAAGAAGAAGAGGAAUCUGCUCAAGUGGCUUUCAUGGCUAUUGGAGAUGAAGAGGUAACACAAUGCAACUCUCAAACAAAUAGUGAUAGUGAAUCUGAUGAUGAUGUUAAUUCUUUUCUAGAAAAAAUGUAUAACAGAUUGAAAGAAUCCUAUGUUAAAAACAAGGAACUGAAGCAAAAAAUUAGCUUUCUUGUGACGCCCCGAAAAAAAAUGAGUUUGAGAACCCGGAAAUUUUCUAAUUUUCUAGGGUUUAUUUUAUUUAAUCGCCCGCCUUUUCUACAUUUUCUUUAUUAGAAAAAUUCCCCAGAUAAAGUUUAUGAGCAAAAAUAGUUUUAAAAUGAUUUUCUAGUAUCGGUUAGUUUUUGAGAAAUUAAGGAUAUAUAUCGGACGUGGGACCCACUAGUGCGAAAAGUUCGGAAAAAUUCGGCCAAUUAGGUUAAAUUUUGGAUACUGGUUGACAUUUAUCGGGUGUUAAGAGAUAAGUGGAGGAUGAGAUGUGAUUGAUGUGAGAGAGACUUAAAGGAUAGAAAUGCUUUAAAUGUAGUGACAAGUGUCACUUGGUGAAUGGUGGCACUUGUAGGACAACUAUUCAUUUUCUUGACUUUUGACCAAUUGCUUAAAUAUCUCAAAAUUCACACAAAAUUCAUUAUUGUCUUCAACUUCUUGGCCGGCUCUCUCUCUAGGAAAAGAAAGAAAACUUCUCCAAUUUUCAAGCUUCCAUAUAGUGCAAAUCAUCCAAACCAAUUGCUUAAAUUUGUUUAUACUCCAUAAAAUCCCUCCAUUUGGUGCUAGUAAGUGAUUUUGUGGAAGUGUUCAAGGAAGCUAAGGUGUCCUACAACUCUCCCUCUCUUGUUUACUAGGUGAGUGGUGAUUGAACUUCCUCCUACACUUAAUGAAGCUUAAGUUGUGCUUAGGGGUAGCUAAAGUGCUGAAAUUUGUGGUUUAUUUCUUGGUUUGAGAUGAAUUGGUGAAGUUUUUAAUUUAUUGAUGAUUUUGCUGGUUUAAUUUGAUCAUGAUGUUGUGGUUAUUGUCGCGCCCCACUUUUUGAUUGAAUGUGUUGUGGUGUGUGAGUGUGUAGUAUGUGCGUGAACGUGUACAAAAAGAAAAUAAAGGCCAUGGGACUUGAUAAUGCGACGGUUUGGCCAUAUAAAGUUCAAAAAGGGUUUUUUGUAUCAAAAACGGAGUCGCCACUUGGUAUAGAGUUUAGGGUGUACCAAGUCACCCAAAAAGAAAUUUUCUAAAGGAAAGAUAGAAAGAAACCCCUUUUGAACGACUCCUAGUCCACGUAAACCAACGAAAAAAGUUCGGGAGUCACAUUUGACGAAGGGGAAGGCAAGGAUAAAAAUCCAAGGCACCCCUUCGACCUAGCCAAGGCUAGUUGCGUGAUUUAGCCCAACCUUUCCUAAUUUUUCUACCCAAGGUAUGUAUAGCGUGUUGGAUAUGAAUAUAUGAAUGCAAGAACCUAGACCUAGGGGACAUGGGGGAAAUUUCUCUUCAAAGGGUGAGUGGUACCAAUCACAUUAAUUGUGAAGCCCAAUAAUGAUCCUUUGGAGAGGUCACACAUAAAUCUAAAUGACGUACAAAUGAGUGGAAUGCAUGCCAUGUGAAAAUGUGAGUUUGUGUGAAAUAAGAAAAAUGAUAAAAAUAAUAGGAUGUAAGUGGAGGUGUGCAAAUGAAGAUAAAAAGUGUUCGUGUGCAAGUGAAGGGAUAUAAAGGUGCACGUGUGCAAAUAAAAGUGUAAAGUGUGAGUAGUUAAGUGAAAACGUCCAAAAGUAGUGUGAAGUGAGAAUGUGGAAAAAGGGUUAGAAUAUAAAGUAAGUGUAUGUGAUAGUGAAUGAAUAGAAUGCAUGAAUCCUAUAGGAAUGCAGCAAGACGGGAACGGGGAGUCCUAACUUUGUGACUUAAUCUUCCCUUUGAUUAGAAGGCAAAACUAGCGUGCUAAGGCUAUCGAGUAGCCACACUCGCUCGUUUCCCUUAUCGAAAGGGGACACUCAAGCAAAUGAACCCUAUAACUAGUAUGAGAUGCAAAACCUAAAAAUGAGGGGAAAAAGGGGUUCGAGGAACAUGCCAAUGAUAAAACUAAGAAAAAUGCAUGACAUGUAGUGAACAUGCAAAUAUGCACUAACAAAAGGGGAUGGCCUAUUGGGUCUAGCGUUGGACUAGCCCUUUCUAUGAAUUCCUAAUGAAAUAAUGAGCCACAACUAGCAUUGGACUAGUGUGGUGACGUAUAUUCAUCCAUCACAUUCAUUCAUGGCUAUGGAAAGCGAUUAGACAUGCCAAACACCCAUAAACACAUAGCACAUAACAAUUAGCAUGCUCGACUAGAUGCAAGAACCUAAUAAAGCAAAUUAACACAUAGCAACUAAGCAUGCAAGACACAUAAAGCAAUUAAAGCCCUAACUAUUACAUUUGCUAGCUAGGCACAUGUCUUCAACAGGUCUUCAUCGAAUGCUCCUCCAAGCCCUAUCUAUUACAAGCCAAGAGGUGUACACAUACCCCAUAAUGAAUAACUUAAAUAAAAGUAAAAAUAAAUGAAAUAAAUGCAAGGAAUUAAGGAAAGGCAAGGAAAGCGAAAUAGACAUGCAUAUUCACAUAACACGUAGGAGCACGUAGGAGAAUAUAAAGUAAGAAGUGAGAGAUAGGGGGGUACCUCCCUUGGAAUGGAGCUCUAACGGGGUGAAGUCACUUAUUCAUCCUCCAAAAUAAUAAAAUGGUUAGGGUACCAAUUUAUUUGACAAAUAAUCACAAAGGAUAAAAAUAAACAUGAAUUUGAAUCAAUUAAAUCAUGUUGACAACCUACAUUUAAGAAGUCAAAAGAAGAAAGGACUUGAUUGCAAAAAUUGACAAAAUUUUGGGGUCGAAAUUAUGAAGUUCUAACAACUUUGGGGCUACAUCAAAACAACAGAGGCAAUUGAAGGACUAGAAUCAUGACUCAAACAGGUAGACAUCUUCCCCAAGCAGGCCAAAUACCCGCUGCCAUCUUCUUUUACGGAUGAAGUACACAAGAAAGUUCAAUUGGUAUUCUAGAAAAAAUGAAAAUCACACAGGCCCCUUUUUACACAAUGUCAAGAUUCAAUUCGGAUUCAUACCAGUGAAAGAGUAAGAAAGACAUAAAAGGCACCAAAAGAGAACACAUCAAAAUUUUCACAAUUCUGUUUGAACUGGCCGAAUGUAUGCGAAUAAACAGAAAUUGAAGCAGAUAUCAAUUUGUCCUUGGAGCUAAAGUCUCGGUUGGGCAUUUUGUCGAACACCAAAUGGGCACACAAGAUUGUAGCUAAUUUCUGCUCAAAUGAAUCUAGAACCCGCCCAGAAUUUUACUAGCAACCCAGAGCAUUCAACCCAAUCAAUACAUAUAACAUGUUCAAUCAGAAAACCAUAAACAGCCAACAUGAAGAUUUGCCACCACAAUCCACGGCAGACAUGCUCUGUAAAAGAACUGAAAUGUAAAAGAAAAGGUAGACUCACCGUGGCCUAUCGCAACGGCAAUUUACAGGCGGUGGUGGUGGUCAACGGAUUCCGACUCUGGUCCUCUCUCCUCUGCCUCCGUUUUGAUUUUUCCCUAGCCCGAAGCUUCUUUCUUCCUCUUGUUCUGGCUUCAGAUUUCUGCAAUUUUCGGCCAUUAUUGGAACUUGACUUCCAGCAAGCAAUGGAGCAUUAUCUCUCACGGCGAAGAUUCGCGAGCGGCAGCGGUGGAUUCUGACGAUAUGGUGGCGGUUCCAGUGAGCGGCGGCGGUUACAAGCUUCCAUUCCUCCGCUGCUUUCUCCUUCAAUUUUUGCCCACAACUCCUCUUCAAAUGCUCCCUUUUUGCUUGCUCUGUUUCUUCCCUUUUUGCUCAGACGAAGCGCUCCUCUGUCCACCGCCCACUUUCGGUUUUGUUCAGCCCCAAAACCUCUCCUCGUUGCUUAUUUUCUUUUCUCAGCCGCAAGCCUUCUGCUUCGGCUUGUUUGUUUUCCUUUUUCCUCCCCUGCUUUUCCUUCAGCCGUAGCCUUCACUCUCUUUUUACUCUGUUUUUCCAGCCGUAAGCCCUUUCUAAGAAACCCCCCGUGAGCUCUUUCUUUUUUUCUCUCUGCCGGCUGCCUUAGACCCCAAUUCCUCCCUAAUUUUGCACCCCCUUUUAGCUUGCGGCCCUUUUAUCUUUUUGGGCACCCCAAAACUAAACCUAAUAUGAAAGGCCAGGAUCUCCUCCUCAAAAAUAGGUUUAUGUGUCUUGUUUUUGUCCUUUGAUUGAUUUUUGAUUUUUGACUUUUCCUUUUUUUCUUUUUUCUCUUUUUUUAUUUUUUUUAUUUUUUUUUAAUGCUCGAAUGUCUAAAAAUGAGAUUAGUAAAACCAAACUAAAAUAAAUAUCAAUAAAAUUAACAAUGAAAAAUAAAGUCAAAAAUUUGGUGUCUACAGUUAUCUAUGAUGGUUGGUAAUGAAGGGUAAUGACUCUAGUAGGUGUACAUGAUUGGUAAUUGCAAGCAAUUUUGGGUUUGGAAGGAAUUUGAGAAAGUUAGGGUUUUAUAUCCCCAAUUCUGGCCGGUUUUAUAUCUCAUGGUUAGAGGCCGAAUUGGCCUUUUCUUAAAACAUGAAAGUUGUAGGUAUUGAUGUGUUUGACAUGCCUAUAAAAUUUCAGGUCAUUUGGAGUAGUGUAGACUGAGAAAUUUUUGAAUUUACUAUUGCUGUUCUGGGUUCAUCAGGAUGGCCGAACUGCGCCUGUAAUCGGCUGUUUUGACUGGAAUUGCUUUGGAUUUGGUUGUUAAGGUCUUCUGAUGAAAUGUAUCUUGAUGUCUUAGCUACCGUCUGCCUUUGGAAUCAAUGAAUUUGGACUUGUACAGACUGAGUUGGACUAAUUACAGCAUAGUGUAAUUUGUAAACCUGCAAUUAAGGUUCUGGGUUGGUAUUUUGCAUUUUUGACCUAGUUGUGCUAGGAUUUGGACUGAGUGGCCUUCUACAUUGUUGUACCCCUGUCUUUUAGCUUCGAAACGGUGGGUCUUGAACCUUCAUCCGACAAUCUUAGCGCCUUUGAUACCAUUACCGUAAAAUGACGUCAAAACUGUUUUUCUGGUUUUGAGCUAAACUUUCAUUUCCAGACUUUUCCCUAGCUUGACUUGUACUAGUACUACUUGGAGCUUGCUGAAUGGCUAUUGGAUGAACUUGUUGUUGUGUGUGUACCUUUGGGACUGGCUGAGGAUAUAAUGAAGCCAUGAUGGCUGGAAAAGUAAGCAAAUUCAGGGGAAGUGCUGUCCAAACUUUGAAGGAACUUGUUUGCAUUGAGUUUGUGAUUUAAGACUUGGAUUUGAGCAAGGCAAUGAUAUUUAAUGGAUGAUUUCUGAGCCGUGGAGGUGAGUGACCUCAAACUAUUUCUAAAAUUAUUUAUGAACCGUUUCUUGCAUUAUUUACUUUUGAACUGUUUCCAAAUUUAAUUUUGGAACUGUUUUCUUACAUAUCAUGCGUGCUUGCAUAUCAGUGUCUUGUUAUUAUUGAUUUUGCUUUCAAUGAUUGUUAAAACGAGUUUUCUAGGCGAGUGUGUACUUUAUCGCACUCGACCUAAAUAAAUAUGAAAUUUUCAAUGAUUAAUGAUUAAAUGCUACUUGCGCAUGAAUGUAAGCCUUUUGGGCUGAACUGGCCAUUGCCCCUUGUUACCGGUCGUCUUGAGCCAGAAGUGGACUCGGUCGGGCGACUAGGAACUUGGGUGAACGUUUCGGUAUACUCGAGUAUUACCUUGUAGGUUGGUGGAGCCUGGCCAAAAGCCAGGGACGGGGUGAAUGAAUGCACGAAUGAAACCAAAAAUGCAAUGAAAUGACAGGAGAACGAACGUAUCCUUUUCAUGAAUGUUACUAUCGCUUUCCAUUGUAAAUGUUUCUUGAAUUAUUGAUACUCCAUAUUUAAUGUUUUGUAAACGUUGUAAUUGUUUCUAAACUUAUCCUUUGAUUUACAACAUCAUUGAAAUGAACCAUUGUUAAACAGAUUUGAUAACUGAUUUUAUUGGUUACUCGCUGAGCUUCUAGCUCACCCCAAAAAUGUUUUAUUCCCCUCCACAGGGCUCAAGGCGAAGGAAGGGCUUGUAGUGUUUAUUCAUGGAUUAUCUCAUGUAUGGAUUGAACUUGGAUAUCCUUUUGUGUAAUCAUUCAUAUUGGGAUUGUAUUGAACGUUUAGAAUUGAUUGGAUGUGUAAUAGUCUAGUUUUGGACUUCCUCCUGUAUACUAAUUGUGAUCAAGGAUCAGAGUGGCGCUGCGGAAGCGUGGACGCUUCGCUUUUGAUAUGUAAAGUUUGGGAACCUUUGAUGUAUAUUUGAUAUAUAUAUCUUGAAAUUCAAUUGAGGAUUGUAGUGAACGACUGAGUCCCGGCGAGAGCUGGACAGGCGGCACGCCGAACCCUCUGGUUCGCCUCAGUGGGAGGUGGGGCCGCACCCUUAGUUCAAGAAAGGAGGGAGGACGAAUUUAUUGGACUACGCCAGGGGACCUUAAGUGUGGCUGAAUACGAAAUGAAAUUUACCAAACUAUCCAAGUUUGCUUCAGAAUUAGUAGCCACAGAACCGAGAAGAGUGAGACGGUUUAUACAGGGACUAAAUUUGGCGUUGGCAGCAGCGCAAGUGAAUACAUUUACGGAGGCCCUUGAGAAGGCUCAACGAGUCGAUAAUGCAAAGGCACAAGUAAAAGCCUCCCAAACACGGAAAAGAGGUGUAGCUGGUAGUAUGAGUGAGGAACCAAGUGAAUCUAUAGUCCCUUCCAAAAUGCAGAAAACAAAUUUUUUGUCUUACCCACCAUGGACAAUAGGGGCGGUAGAAAAAAAGUCUACUAAAGGGAGCCAAAUCGAACGUAAGGAAAUUUCUCAAGAAAGCCAAAAGAUGGCUUCUCACCUGACUUGUGGCUAUUGCGGAAAGGCCAAUCAUACCGAGAACGAUUGUUGGCGGAAAGGGCGGAAGUGCUUGAUUUGUGGGAGUGGUGAGCACCAAUUUAGCAACUGUCCGAGGAGACAGUCACGCGAAGGUAGUAUUCCGCAACUGGAGGGAGCUAAAACAAAACAAGCAAAUGAAAGAGGGAACCGAACUAGUGGGCCAGCAAAAGCUUAUGCGUUAGGCACCCAAACAGUUCCGGACUCGUCUGAGGCAAAUGAAGGUAAAAAUUUCGAGGACGAAAUUUCUUUAAGGGGGAGAGAGUGUGAGUGACCUCAAACUAUUUCUAAAAUUAUUUAUGAACCGUUUCUUGCAUUAUUUACUUUUGAACUGUUUCCAAAUUUAAUUUUGGAACUGUUUUCUUACAUAUCAUGCGUGCUUGCAUAUCAGUGUCUUGUUAUUAUUGAUUUUACUUUCAAUGAUUGUUAAAACGAGUUUUCUAGGCGAGUGUGUACUUUAUCGCACUCGACCUAAAUAAAUAUGAAAUUUUCAAUGAUUAAUGAUUAAAUGCUACUUGCGCAUGAAUGUAAGCCUUUUUGGGCUGAACUGGUCAUUGCCCCUUGUUACCGGUCGUCUCGAGCCAGAAGCGGACUCGAUCGGGCGACUAGGAACUUGGGUGAACGUUUCGGUAUACUCGAGUAUUACCUUGUAGGUUGGUGGAGGUUGGUGGAGCCUGGUGAAUGAAUGAAUGAACGAAUGAAUGAAUGAGGGUUUUACUUAUAUACAAAUGCAUUUUCAAAUGAUUGAAGGUAUAAGGGAACGAAAGGAGAAUGAAUGAACGAAUGAAUGAACGAAUGGCUCCUUGUGAGCGCGUAUCCUUUUAAUGACGGUGUUUAUCGCUUUCUUUUGUAUUUGAAUGAUUGGUAACAUGUAAUGAAUGCAUUGAACUUCUUGUUUGCCUAUGUGUUAGGAACCUCACUGAGCUUUCCAGCUCAUCCCUUUAGUUUUGUUUUCCUUAACAGGGGAAAGCGUGCAAGGACGAGAGCCUGUAUAGACUAGCUGGGUCUAGCCUUGGUUUUCUUUUGUCAUGGUUUUCGCCCUUGUGCUUGGCACGGGCUGGAUGUAUAGUGAUUUGAGUUGAGAACCUCUGUAUAUUUGACGGUUGUACUUCUUCUUGAGAUAUUAUUGUAUAUACGUUUUGUUUUAAGUUGGAUCGUGGUUAGAUGUUCUUAUGGUUGCUUGAAGUGAUCGACUGAGUCCCGGCGAGAGCUGGGCAGGUAGUCCGCCGAACCCUUUGGUUCGCCUUAGGGGAAAGUGGGGCUGUUACAUUUCUAAUACAAGACAAUGCAAAUCUUUUUCGACAAAAAAAAUGUCUUAAGUAUGAAAAUGAUAACCUGAAAAGGACUGAGUCUGAUGUGCUUGCUGAACUUUACAAAAAGAAAAAUUACUGUGACAUACUCAGAAGUGAGCAAUGCAGCUUAAGAAAAAGGAUGGAUGACUUAUGUCAAUUGUUACAUCAUUUGAAACAGAGCCAUCUUCAAAAGAAUGACACUGUACCUUAUGUUAAUACUCAUCAAAUAAGACUGAACCAAAAUACAAAUGAGUUUGCUAUCCACAGAAGAAGGCAAGUCAGAUUCAUUAAACCUGUUCAUUUGAUUGAUCCAAUGUCAGUAUGCAACUUUUGUUGUCAAUCUGGUCACAUGAAUAGCAACUGUCAUGUUAAGAAAAACAUGAGGAAUGGCAUGAGAUGCAUGUGUGUAGUUAAACAUAAGACUAACUCUCAAGGACCCAAUAUGUAAAGGGUACCAAGUAUUAUCUUGUGGGUUUGUGUGUAGGUGAACCAGGAUAACAUUGCUAAAAAAUCAAAAUGGUUCAUUGAUAGUGGAUGCUCAAGACAUAUGACUGGUGAUGCAUCACAAUUCAUUAAACUCAAGCAAAAAGCAAGUGGAAAGGUAACGUUUGGAGAUGAUAACAAAGCCAAGACUGUUGGUAUUGGCGAUGUUGGUAAGAAUGAUCAAACUUUUAUCCACAAUGUUCUUCUUGUUGACAAUUUGAGCUACAAUCUGUUAAGUGUUAGCCAAUUGUGUGAUAGGAAUCUGUUUGUAUUGUUCAAAAAGCUUGAAUGUCUCAUAUUUGACUCAAAGUUCAACAUUGUUUUCAAAGGAAAAAGAGUUAAUGAUGUUUAUGUAGUUUUUCUUGAAAAAAUUGAUUCCUCAUAUCUCAAAUGUCUCAAAGUAGCAAAUGAGGACCCAUGGUUGUGGCAUAGAAGGUUGUGUCACUUCAAUAUGGAUUUGCUGAAAGAAAUUUCUAAAAAGGAACUUGUUAGAGGUCUUCCAAAAAUUAGAUUUGAAAAAGACAGAAUUUGUGAUGCUUGCCAAUUUGGAAAACAAGUCAAGGUUUCUUUUAAAUCUAAGAAAUGUGUUUCUACUUCAAAACCACUUGAACUUCUGCACCUUGAUCUGUUUGGUCCUACACAGACUGCAAGCCUUGGUGGUAAGAGAUACUGUUUUGUGAUUGUUGAUGACUAUUCUAGAUAUACUUGGGUGAUAUUCCUUGCUCAUAAAGAUGAUGCCUUUAAGAAUUUUACCUCAUUAUUUGCUAAAGUACAAAAUCUGCUUGGCUUGAAAAUUGUCAGGAUUAGAAGUGAUAAUGGGACAGAAUUCAAGUUCUGUGGUUUUCCAGAAUUUUGUGAUCAUAAUGGUAUUACUCAUGAAUUCUCUAUUGCUAGAGUCCCUCAACAAAAUGGAGUUGUAGAAAGAAAAAAUAGAACUCUCCAAGAGGCUGCUAGAACCAUGCUUAGUGAAUGCAAUUUACCAAAAUAUUUUUGGGCUGAAGCCAUAAACACAGCCUGUAUACCAUGAAUAGAGUUCUUCUAAGACCAAUUUUGAACAAAACUUCCUAUGAGCUCAUGUAUGACAAAAAGCCUGUUGUCGGUUACUUCAAAGUAUUUGGUUGUAAAUGUUUCAUUUUGAAUAUCAAGGAACAUCUUGGAAAGUUUGACAAGAAAUCUGAUGAGGGAAUUUUCUUGGGUUAUUGUGAAAACAAAAGAGGUUUCAGAGUUUAUAAUCGUAGAACAUUGAUUAUAGAGGAGGCUAUACACAUUACUUUUGAUGAAUCUAAUGGAGACAUCUCUAUGAGUUGUGGUGAAGAUGAUGACACAUGUGUUCAAGAAGAACUGAAGAAGCUAGCAAUCAAUGAUCAUGACUCUGCCUCACCAGAAACUGAUUCAAAGGAUACUGAUGCUCAGGUCAGUCCAGCUGAAGAAGUGAAUAAUAGAGAUACCACUACUCCUAAUGAUCUUCCAAGAGCCUGGAAAUUUGCUCAUAAUCAUCCCAGGGAGCUUAUAAUUGGUGAUCCUUCUGAAAAGGUCAGGACUCGUUCCUCUAGACACCUGGUAGAUAAUCUUGCUUUUGUAUCACAUAUUGAACCUCAUUCUCAAACAGUCACCGAAUUCAAAUACACAUAUAGGUCAUAUUACUCAUGUAUAAAAAUCAAAUCAGGUCCAUUACAUGUACGUAAGAGCACACUCGCCAAAACAAGUUCAAGUCCCAAAUGAGCUUAUUUUAGUCUGUCUCAGACAGUUCAAGUAUUGCAAACCCCUUUGAUCAGUCCAAUAACAAGGUUAAAUGUUACAAUCAUCCACGCUUUAACCUUUUCCAUCAAAACUCACCUCAAGUGCAAUCAAGAUACAGACCCUUAUUCUAACGCUCUUCACUAUGUGAUACCCAAGUACAAGAAUCCACAAUAAGACAAUUCACACCUCGAGCCGGCCGGUCCCAAGAGUAAAUCAUCCAUAUUAGAGAUUCCUACCUGGCAUAAGUAACUAAGGUCUCCAACAAUAGACAAUUGUUCCACACUUAACAAGUCAAUCCCCACAGUCCGAGAACCCUCUCCCGGCACGAGCUCAAUAGGAGCUCUGAUACCAUCUGUGACGACCCCACCUCCCCCUGAGGCGUACCAAAGGGUUUGGUGGACCGCCUGCCCAGCUCUCGCCAGGACUCACUCACUCAAAUCAUGUGCACACAUCCAUGAACCAUAAAUAACAUCCACAAUUCAAACUUAUAAUUUACAUUGAUACAAAUCAAGGUACAAAGCCUCGAUACACCAAACUAGUUCAAAACGUGUACAAUCUAAGUACAACAUGUUCCAUUCGAGGAAUAGCGCGAGUACAAGUCAAAAGUCAAAAGUCAAAAACAACUAGGCUAUGCUAGUCUUUACAUGUCUCAUGCCUCGCUCGUACCCCCUGUAAGAGAACAAAUAGCGUGGUAUGAGCUAAAAGCCCAGUGAGGUUCCAAAUAGCAAAUUGACCAUUAUUUACAAGUACAAAUUUUCGAUAUAGCAAAGUAACGAGCAUGAAGAGUUCAUAACAGUGAGCAAUAACACUUCAAGUAGCAAUCUCAAAAUGAGCGAGUGUAAAAGUUUUUCAAAAUCAACAAUAAUCCAAUAAGCAAUAAUCAUUCCAAAGCAUAAGGAUACGAAUGGCUCUCAGGAGCCAACUUCCAUUCAUCAUCAGGAGCUUGAUCACGUAGUAGUUGACACUCCGUCAACUUUCAAGUAAAGGAACCAAUCCAGUAGAACACCACUUACACUACUCUCCGUCCACCAUUCACACCCCUUACUGGGCCCAAAAUCCUCAAUAAACACGGGUGGUAAUACUCGAGUAUACCGAUUAGUCGAGGAGAUAUCACUCCACUCGACAAAGCAAGAGACCCAGGGCUCGUUACCCAAUCGACCAAGCCCUUGCCGGCUCGACUAGAGUAACUCGUCACAGGGUUUCUGGAAUUCCAGGAAGUGCGCACCUCAUAAACAAGUAUAUCAAGUCAAUUGCAAUCAAUAAACAAGUAUAUCACGUAAGGGCAAGUGCGAUAAAGUACACUCUUGCCCUAUCAAUUCACGUAUAUAACAUGUACUCAUAUUGGUCACGUAUCAAGUUCAAGUAUCUAGUGCAAUUCGGUAUUUGAAAACACUCACCAAAAGAUAUAGUGCUUCUAGUAUUCACGUUCAGUUAUACUUCAGGUUUGGAGUCCAGAUCUGCGAUAAAAAUUCAAUUUGAGAACUUUGAAACACGAGUAGGAUUCGAAACUUAAACGUUCCGUUCAUUAAGAAUCGACCAAUUGAAAUUCAUUUGAAAGACCCUCGUGAAAUACUUGCUCGCUUUUCAAAUCGUAAGGUUUUGUAGCAUAGAUGCUUGGAAACAACACUUGAGUUGAAAGUACAAGGAAAUACAAGUUUACAUUGGUCAUUAUGCCUUUUCCUCAAGGGUACAAGUUCAGCCAAGUCCUAAUAUAUAACCCUUGAUAAACAUAGUAGCAAAGGUUCCCGCUUGUUCAAGUGAUAUUCACUUAACCUUUACUCAAGUUGCAAAUAUAGUUUUCUAGUCCUCGAGUGUAAAUUCGGGCAGCAUGCCCUUUGUGUUUACCUAAUUUUUCAGCCAUUUAGGCUUCAUUAUUUUUUCUCAACCACAACCCAAAGUCACACAUAUCAUAAUUCGAUUCAAAAGCCGUUCCAUAGGCUUAUCAUAUCAUUAGAAUAAGAAUCACAAUAAUAACAAGUGCUGAAAUACAAUCUAGCACAAGACAGAUUUGACGUGUGGAUGCGGAAAUAACAUAUCCGAGGCUACGCUUAUCGGAUUGAGCGCAACUUAUGCCGUUUCGAAGCUAAGACACAGAGCUACAAUGUUCAUGAAGGUCACGUAGUCCAGUUUCCAAUGCAACUUAGUCAAAUCCUUAAUUUACAGAACUAAAAUCUAACUCGUCGGCUGUAUAACCGCAUUGUACUGUAAUGGUCAUAUCUCAGGUUACAAAAGUCCGAUUCAGGUGUUCUUAGAGGCGUUUGAAAGCUAAUUCAGAAUACUACAACUUUCAUGUUUUGGUAAAGCUAAAUCAGUACGGAUCCUAGUAGAAAAGCGUGAUAAACUGGACAAACUGAUGAAACGGACUGCUGGGGAAAAACUUAAAAUAGUAAGGGUAUUUUGGACUUUUAACGACCUACGUUGCUCCGAUUAAGCUGAAAUUUUGUGGGCACCUAUAAAAUACCAUUCUAUACAACUUUCCUUCUUUGACCUAAGGACAAUUCGGCCUCUAACAUACAGUUACAAAUUCGGACAGAAUGUUGGGGAAAAUUUCCAGAUUCUGGAAUUUUUAGUUUUUAGUGCAACUUUCCUUAAUUUCUUGGUAUAAUCACUACCAAAGCCUCUCUUAUAACCUUAAUUUCAAUAUAUAUACAUCAUACAACAAAUUGGGCAGAAAUUCCUCAAGCCCUAGUUCAUCAUAUAAAAAGGGGAAAACUUCCAAAACAUGAUAAUAUCCAUGAUUCCACCAAAAUCAAGUUGCUAAGCUUAAUUUAACAAGAUUGAAAGUAAAAUUUAGAGAGAUGAGCUUUCUUACCUUGACUAGAGUUCACUAAGUGUAGCCCAAGCUUUCUCUUUCAAAAAUUUCACCACAAAUCACUAACUAAUCACUCAAAGGUAAGUUUAAUCGGUUUCUUUCUUUUGUUUUCUCACUUUGUAGCUUGAUUCAAGAAGAAAUGGAGGAGUUCCUCUCUUGUUCUUUCCCUCUCUCUCUCUCGGCUCUCCAGCAGAAAAAUGAAGGUGAAUGAAGCCAAUUUGGAGAUAAGAAGGUUGAACAAUUGUCUUGGUCAAUGGCCACUCAGGGUGUGACACUUGUGACAAACCUUACAAAGUAAAAUUUUCUUUUUCUUUCUUGUAUUUUCUGCCAUUAAUUUCGGUCAGGCUUAGCUGGAAUUUAGGAGAUUAUUGCUCAAAUAUUAAUGAGCUUGUAUGGCAAGAAAGUGGUGGUCAAGUGGUGCGUUCAAUCGGUAGUGCGGGACCGCCGGUUCGCGCCGUUUUUCUUAAAAACACACGUAUUAGGGUUUUUAAUUCCCAUUCACUAACCUUAUAUCAUUGCUACUAAUCACAUAUUAUUUUUCACUUAAAAGUCACUUUUAAUCUCCAAAUUUAAUCCUUACUCUGUACCGAAAAUUCAUCCGGUCAAAAAUCGCGAAAACCCUAAUUUUGCUCCAAACUUGAAACCGAAGAAUAAAACCCUACUUUCUAGAUUCAUUUGCACUUAUUAUGGAAUAAUUGGAUAGUAGGGCUUUAAUAAAUGAUAAUUUUCAAAUAAAAGGAAAUUUUUAAGAAAACGUGAGGAAUUUUCCAAUUCCAGUAAUUAAAAUUAGGGUUUCAAUUAAAAUAGGAGAGAUUUAGGAAAACCGGUUAGUCACAAGUAAACUAGGGUUUUGACUAAAAUAUUAGGGUUUCUAGUCUUUUAAAACAAAAUAAGGUUUUAAAUCAAACCCCAAAGGAAUACACUUUAAUAUUUUCUUCACAAACAACCUCCUAAUAUUCGGGAUGUUACAAUCUCCCCUCCUUAAAAGAAUUUCGCUCUCGAAAUUCCAACGGGUACUAAGAGUCCUUCAAAGUCAGUCAGGUACUAGAAAUCACUCCAAUCCCUUAUAUAUGACCUUAUCAUUUAGUAAAGAGCUAAGAGAUAACCAAAUAGAACAUGCAAAAAGGGCUCAAUUCACAUAACUAGCCCUGAGUUGAAAGUAAAGUCUCAGAUAUUCGAAAAAUUUAGAACAUGGCUCAGCCUCAAGUCGAAAAUUUUACCCCUGGCGGUGCUUGGAAACACAACAGGCAAAGCCUCACCAGAGAGUUUUAGUUCAACCGCUACAGAGGAGUAGUAGCUGGUCUACAGCCACACAAAUACGAAUAAGUUCAAAAGCAAGGUCAAAGCAGGGUUCAAACAUAUAAGUUCAAAAGUAAAUUCAAUUACUUCAAGUUCAAGAAGCACGGGUACGAAUAAGAACUCACUCGACUAGCCUAUACCCAGCAAUUCACAUUCUCAAACAGUCACCGAAUUCAAAUACACAUAUAGGUCAUAUUACUCAUGUAUAAAAAUCAAAUCAGGUCCAUUACAUGUACGUAAGAGCACACUCGCCAAAACAAGUUCAAGUCCCAAAUGAGCUUAUUUUAGUCUGUCUCAGACAGUUCAAGUAUUGCAAACCCCUUUGAUCAGUCCAAUAACAAGGUUAAAUGUUACAAUCAUCCACGCUUUAACCUUUUCCAUCAAAACUCACCUCAAGUGCAAUCAAGAUACAGACCCUUAUUCUAACGCUCUUCACUAUGUGAUACCCAAGUACAAGAAUCCACAAUAAGACAAUUCACACCUCGAGCCGGCCGGUCCCAAGAGUAAAUCAUCCAUAUUAGAGAUUCCUACCUGGCAUAAGUAACUAAGGUCUCCAACAAUAGACAAUUGUUCCACACUUAACAAGUCAAUCCCCACAGUCCGAGAACCCUCUCCCGGCACGAGCUCAAUAGGAGCUCUGAUACCAUCUGUGACGACCCCACCUCCCCCUGAGGCGUACCAAAGGGUUUGGUGGACCGCCUGCCCAGCUCUCGCCAGGACUCACUCACUCAAAUCAUGUGCACACAUCCAUGAACCAUAAAUAACAUCCACAAUUCAAACUUAUAAUUUACAUUGAUACAAAUCAAGGUACAAAGCCUCGAUACACCAAACUAGUUCAAAACGUGUACAAUCUAAGUACAACAUGUUCCAUUCGAGGAAUAGCGCGAGUACAAGUCAAAAGUCAAAAGUCAAAAACAACUAGGCUAUGCUAGUCUUUACAUGUCUCAUGCCUCGCUCGUACCCCCUGUAAGGAGAACAAAUAGCGUGGUAUGAGCUAAAAGCCCAGUGAGGUUCCAAAUAGCAAAUUGACCAUUAUUUACAAGUACAAAUUUUCGAUAUAGCAAAGUAACGAGCAUGAAGAGUUCAUAACAGUGAGCAAUAACACUUCAAGUAGCAAUCUCAAAAUGAGCGAGUGUAAAAGUUUUUCAAAAUCAACAAUAAUCCAAUAAGCAAUAAUCAUUCCAAAGCAUAAGGAUACGAAUGGCUCUCAGGAGCCAACUUCCAUUCAUCAUCAGGAGCUUGAUCACGUAGUAGUUGACACUCCGUCAACUUUCAAGUAAAGGAACCAAUCCAGUAGAACACCACUUACACUACUCUCCGUCCACCAUUCACACCCCUUACUGGGCCCAAAAUCCUCAAUAAACACGGGUGGUAAUACUCGAGUAUACCGAUUAGUCGAGGAGAUAUCACUCCACUCGACAAAGCAAGAGACCCAGGGCUCGUUACCCAAUCGACCAAGCCCUUGCCGGCUCGACUAGAGUAACUCGUCACAGGGUUUCUGGAAUUCCAGGAAGUGCGCACCUCAUAAACAAGUAUAUCAAGUCAAUUGCAAUCAAUAAACAAGUAUAUCACGUAAGGGCAAGUGCGAUAAAGUACACUCUUGCCCUAUCAAUUCACGUAUAUAACAUGUACUCAUAUUGGUCACGUAUCAAGUUCAAGUAUCUAGUGCAAUUCGGUAUUUGAAAACACUCACCAAAAGAUAUAGUGCUUCUAGUAUUCACGUUCAGUUAUACUUCAGGUUUGGAGUCCAGAUCUGCGAUAAAAAUUCAAUUUGAGAACUUUGAAACACGAGUAGGAUUCGAAACUUAAACGUUCCGUUCAUUAAGAAUCGACCAAUUGAAAUUCAUUAAAAAAUUUUGUGUGUUAAAUGUAUGUGAAAAAGUUUAUGUAUUAAAAUGUAUUAAUUAAUUUGUUAGGUCAUAUUUGGGUCAUGGGUUUGAGAUAACCCAAUAUGACCCAACCCAAAAUCAACCAAUCUAAAGUUGGGCGGGUUGGGUAUAACCCAUUUAAGUGAAAACUCAAAUUAACCCGCCCAAAACCCGCCCAAUUGCCAGGUAUAAUUCGUUUGAUAAAAAUCAAAAGAAAAAUAAAAGGUAUCAUGCAUGAGCCGUGUUGCUCAUGUCCUGUGCUACGGCAAUGUUUGCAGCAGACAUAGGCACAUGUUGGAAAAGAACUUGGUCCAUGGUUUCCAAAUCCCCUCGACAGAAUCAUAAAGAAGCAGAAGUUGAAAGUUUUCACUCUUCGAAAAACUGAAGUCCAGCGAGACUCAUACUGCUGACUCCAGGAUGCUGAAAACCAUGGUUAAAUAUCAGUUAUUUUUGAAAUUGCACUAACAUGCAAAAUCCCUUUUUCGUUGUCCGCACAAUUUACUAAGGAAAAUUAAUUUUUUUUUAGGUAUAAGUGAGAGGGUUCGGUUUGAAACCUCCCACUUAUACUCCCUUUUUCCCAAUCAUCCAACCCAUUUCUCUAUUACAUUAAUGGGCCGCUUUUUUUUUUUAGGAAUUUUGGUAUUUGAAAUUAUAAUAAUUUUAAUACUGUGCACUUGAUCCAGUACAAUGAGAAUUGAAAUAUUGAAAUCAUGUCUUAAAAUUUGGUCAUUCAUGAUACCCGACUAAAUUGAGAGGAAUUAACUAAAAUCCUCAUUAAUGGGCCCUCGAUCCAUUAUUCCACUUCCCUUUCCAAUUCCAAAGUUGAUUGAUUCUCCAUUCUGGUUCAUUUUGCCAGUUGCAAAUUCUGGUUACUAAAGUACUCCAAAGCACAUGUAAGGGAUAAAUAUCUCAUUCCAAUGCUACAACUCCCAUCUCUUUCAAAAACAAAAAGGAUCACCAGCAAUAAAGACAGAGUAAUUGUAUCAGGGUUGAAUUUUCUAGUAUUCGAUUACACUUUCUAGGACAAAUUACACUUUACCCCCCGUGAUUUAGCAAUUUUUCACAUAACCCCCCUAUAGUUUCAAAAGCUGUACUUAAUCCUAUAAUAGUUUGGAUUAAUGCGUCAAAGUGACGGAAAUGAUCAUUUGUAACUAAACCUUUAAAAAUGUCAAAAUUACCUUAUAAAUACAUGACACACUAAUCCCGUAUGAUUUUGUAUUUUACCAUAUGUAUGAUUUAAUAUUUUAUCAUAUAACCCCCUUAUAAUUUUCAAAAUAUACACAUAAUCCCCCUUGGUUGAUAAAUAAUUUUCAACUUUACAUAAGGGUAUUUUUGACAUUUUAAGUGACUCAGUUACGAAUGAUCAUUUUCAUCACUUCGACACUUUAAUUCAAACCAUGAGGGGUUAUGUAUAGCUUUUGAAACUAUAGAGGGUUAUGUAGGAAAAUACUAAAUUACAUGAGGGUAAAGUGUAAUUUGUCCAACUUUCUAGGCAACGAGAAGCCAUGGGGAACUCAUUCUUCUCCUCUUUAACUUUGAUAUAACAAGAACAAAGAAGGUUCGGAGAUCAAACAUGCACCAAGUAACAAUCAUAAGUUCAAAUUUCUAACAUAUGAUUCAAAUGAAAAGACUUAUUGUAAAAGCUAAGGCAUCAAACCAAAAAAAAUAUUAAACUCAUCUAACGAGCAUGAUUUUUCCAAGUCCCCAUUUGAUCUCCAGUUCAGUUCAGUUCAUUCGACGACCGCAUAGUUCACCAAGAGCAACCAAACUUUCAUGAUAAAUAUCAGCUUGCAGGGUGGUUGGAGACCAUGAAUGUUGUAUUUUUGUAAGACUUCCUCGAUUAUCACCUAGGACAGCACAUGAAGCCAACUGUCCAUUGCUCAUUUCCCAAAGCAGUUUAUCACUGUUCCAUGAAGAUAACGGGCUCUCGAUUCCUGAGAGUGGUCCUAUGGAAAACUUUUUAACCCAAGACUCCUGCACACCCGUACUCCAUCAUCACCCAUAUGUCGAAAUGCUGAUCCGAAAUUUGACUCCCUGUAAUGUUAUACCAUAUCAUGGCAGUGAAUUGUCCAAGACAAUGAGUUUCUGCAUGCCAUAUUCUCCUUCAGUGUCUUCUACUCCAUCAGGAUAUUGAAUUUCUCGAAAUUGCUCAGUGCUCAAUUCAAAAGAAAGGAUCUGGAGGCCAAAAGAAUCAGUAUUUAAUGGUGUGCACCAAUGGAAGCAUCCAUUAAAUGAAACAGAGAAGCGCUCGUUAUACACCAUUUCCGGCAGGGUGACGUCUGGAUCGAGUUCCUCCAAGAAUUAGUACUGAGACUGUAUAUUUCAGCUUUGCAGGAAUUAAGAUCGUCAUUGUAUUCGUCAGGAAAAAUUCUUGUAAAAGUGAUGAUCUUGUAAUCGUUACUAAUUGCAUCAAACCCAAACCCAAUUCACCCAGAUGGCUAAAAUACCCUUGUGGGCAACGAAAGGGACAAUCAGGGAGUGUAAGAAACUCUCGAGUUGCAGGAUUGCACAAAUGAAUACCAGAAGAUUCAUUACUUCUAAGACAAAUUAUGCCAUGGCAUUGCCGACCAAAAUCAUAUUGGGGUAAGUUGAGUACGGUACCUCAAAAUCAGGGGCCACAACCUGGAGAGAUAAAGAUUCAUCCUUUGAAUGGAAUGAUAAAACAAUUUUUCUCUCAUCCUUGAUGAAGCGCUUCACCAGGAUGACACCUUCCUGAUCGCCGCAAUUGGCUCGGCUGACAUGCAAAUCAGUGAAACGGGGGCUUUUGAUCAAAGAGCACCAAGAUUUGCUAACGCAUUUGAAUUGGAACAAACAUUUCACGGGUAAUCUCACCAAGAUCUGCAUCAGGAUGUCCUCCGGAAGAAUAUCCAUUUCUCUGGGUUGUUUGGUCAAUAGAUUGAUGGCAGAGGAGCAGAAAAAAAAAAAUAAGGUUGCGAAGAUAAGGGUUCAUCAAGAGGUCUCCCAUUUGCAGCUUUCAUCAAGGCUCUCCUUUCUUCAGUGGGAUCAUUUCCUCGCGAGUAGUGAGAAGAUUUAUUGAAGGAUUGCUACUUACUCACUUGGGUUCAUCAAGGGCACUCCUCAUUUGUAGUUUGAGAUAACCCAAUAUGACCCAACCCAAAAUCAACCCAAUCUAAAGUUGGGCGGGUUGGGUAUAACCCAUUUAAGUGAAAACUCAAUAUUAAACCCGCCCAAAACCCUUUCAAUUGUCAGGUACAAUUCGUUUCAUAAAAAUAAAAAGAAAAAUAAAAGGUAUCAUGCAUGAGCCGUGUUGCUCAUGUCCUGUGCUACGGCAAUGUUUGCAGCAACAUAGGCACAUGUUGGAAAAGAACUUGGUCCAUGGUUUCCAAAUCCCUCGACAGAAUCAUACAGAAGCAGAAGUCGAAAGUUUUCACUCUUCGAAAAACUGAAGUCCAGCGAGACUCAUACUGCUGACUCCAGAAUGCUGAAAACCAAGGUUAACUAUCAGUUAUUUUUGAAAUUGCACUAACAGCUCGUGAGAAUUAGUGAGAAGAUUUAUUGAAUGGAUCGCUACUUAGUCACUUUAUAAUUAAUUGGGAAUAGAGUGAAUGGCCAAAUGAUCGCUCGACUACUCAAAUAGCAUCUUUUGGUUAUCAAAUUUUUUUGUGACCAAAAAGGUCAUUAAACUCACAUAAACGUGCUAGCAGAGACCUCUUGAUGAACCCUUAUCUUCGCAUUGAUGAACCAAAAUACUCUCAAUUGAUACUUAGAACAACUUUUUUAAUGCCUGUACUUUGUCUAGGAUCACAGAAUGACACUAAGCAUUUCAAGAGGGUAUGGUAUAAAUGUGAUUAAAAGUGGAUAGUAGGACAAUAAUGCGGCCCCUGAAGUUUUUUUUUUUAAGGAGAAAGUUCAGGUCCAGAACCUACUAAUUUCCUCACAAAGACAUAUAUAGAUUUAGCAUCCUUGGCAUGCCAUAGCUAAGUGAAUUGGUGUUUGAAUCAGGGAAAAUGAUUCAUACGUCUGGACAUGGCCCAACAUUAAACAGUAUUGUUUUGUCCCUUUUGCUCUGGCUUUGUAUAGAGACAAGUAAGGCCUAAAAGCCGUAAGCUAAGCUUUGAUAGCGGUUGGCAGGUACCCACUUGAUCCCUGCUUCACAAACAAACUCACUGCUUGCUGCAAAUCCAACAAGAGGCCCAUCUAAUACCCUACCUUCAGGACCACUGUCCCCAUCUCCAUUUUGCAGAUGCAUAUUAAUUCUACUUUUUUUUUGUCAUAUAAGGCACAAAAUCCCUCCACUCCAUUUUAUGGACACUUGAUUUUCUUAAUAAUUUCUAGCUUAUCUCCAUCAGUAGUGGCUAAGUCAGUAUCCCAAGGCUAGGGAUUCAAUUUUCGACACCACAUCAAAUAUAAUCAUACUUUUUUAAAUUUACAACUAAAAGGUGCUUAUAUUAAACAUACUCUUUUUUUUUUUCUAUUGUGUCAAUUAUAUCUUGGCAUUUAAGUUGUUCUAUAAUGUAGUGGUAGUUUAGACUAGUCAAAAGAGUUUAUUCUUGGAUUUAUAUCAUUAACUAGCCUUAACUAGAUCCAAUGCUCUUGUGAAGCGUAAGAAUUAAGAAUGUCAAAUUUAUUAAGGGAGGCCAGUCCCAACAAGAAAGAGGCGUUAAAAAAAUUUUUGAGAGACCAAUAUAGAUAAGAAAGAGAAUUUCAAAAAUAUUGAGUGGCAAAGUUGAUAAAAAUAAGAAUUUUAAAUAUUUCAGAAAAUUUUCAAAAUUUCUAUACCUAAAUCAAAAUUUUCUCAAAGUUGAGGGGGGGAGGGGCAAUUGCCAAUCUUCAUAUUCAUUUGGCUUCUGCCCCUGUCCCUCCUCAGCCUUAAGAAAAGAAAAUUUCACAGGUAGACAUAAGAACUAAUCUUUUACUAGUGAAGCUAAAUGCAUCAUGUCACGUAAGUUCUAUUUAAAUUUAAAAAAUCUAUUUUUGGCUUGCAUCUAAAACUUCUAACGCAAAAAAUUAAUCCUAAACAUAAAUGCAUCUUUCUUUUUGGUUCAUAUGCAUCCAAAAUCCCUUCCGGUACAGUUUCGUAAUUCAGCAAUCGCGCGUGACAUGCGCAAAUAAUUAGCCUUAUUUUCGUCUGUACACUUCAAGGAGACAAAAAUACCACUAGCCAGAUAGAUGUUUGAGCGUAUCCUUUUCUUCGGACAUGCUAAGGAAUUAGCUACUAUUCGGUGGUUUUUUCAAGUGAAGUCCAGGUUUAGACACGUCAUACUAAAAACGAUUUACAAAAAACAAGGGGGCAAUAAGAAAAUUAAGCAUUUAUAAGUAGAAUGAUAUCUACUAAUGAGAAAAAACUAUUAAUUUCUUAUGGAUAAAAAUAAAGUCUGAAAAUUUGCCGAGUUUUCAAAAUUUACCUUUCAACUAUUAAUUUCUUUAUUUUGAUUCUUAAUAGUUUACUGUUGAUUUAAAUUAACAGUUUACACCAAAGUUUAUUAAUAGUUUAUUUGGAUUCUUAAUAGUUUACUGUUGAUUUAAUAGUUUACACCAAAGUUUCUCCAAGAAAAAUAGAUCACGUUUUUGCUGGGCUGAUGGUCAAUUGACAUAUAACUAUGACAUCCCCAGUAAAUAUAAGAUACCAACUUUUUGAGGGAUAGAUUAAACUUUUCAGCAAAGCUUAGUAUUUUUUUUUUAAUUAUGAGCAAAGCAUAAUAUAAUCAUCAAUAAUAUAAUGGAUUUAUUUUUUAUACACUAACAAUGUACAAACUUUCAUCAUAGGAUAGGAUGCUUGACACAUAAUCUAAAUUUGAAUUUGAAAUUUAAAUUUUGCAUAUGCAUCGUGCAUUCAGUCGUAAUAGUGUACACACUAUCAAUGUAUAUAAGAUUUACUCUAAUAUAAUUAGUGUAUGAAAAUCUUGAAAUUUUUUAUUGAAAAAGUACGUUUUGUGAACAUGUAUAAUAUAGAGAAAAACCCAAUCGCGAAGAUCUAAUGAGAAUCCACGGCUUUUGGACCGCUGAAGAUCGGACCACUUGGGCUUGGCAGGAGCGAUAGACCUAAUUGUUUUCAUUAUACUGCUACUUCCGCACGAUUCGCCUAGAACCACAUUUUAGAAACCGGAAUAAUACAAAACUUGAAUGCAAGGGGCCCGUCUAAACCUUUGAAUGUUAUGUUUGGCAUUUCCUGAGAUGGUGACACCUCACAGCCUGCAGAAAGUAAAGACACCCCAAAACCAUUGGAUACUCAUCUUCUGUGUGCACAUUGGUGAUUGCCUUCUUGUUUAAUAUGUACAUUUCUUUUCGUAAUUCCUUUUUUUUUUUUCUUUCUUCCUAAGGAGAGAAUCACUUUAAAAAUGGUGGAGAUUUGAUUUGCCUGCUGGUUUCAUAUAAACUCAAAUAAAUCGAGGAACAAGUCAAGAGGGGCAUUGAGGAUGAGUACAAUAAGACAAUGCUAAAGGCAAAUCAGUUAUGAAGAGGGAUUUUAAAUUUCUUCGUGGCUGGUUAGUCAAGAACUUAAAUUUGGCGCUUGACACACAUAAAAAGUACUAGUAUUAAAGGAUGUGUCAGUAUAGCUCUCAAUUUUAGAUGACUCUUUUCCUAACGAAUGCGGGUAUUUGGAGUUGCGUGGGCAUAGCGGGGACACAUAUUUGUGUUUUCUGGUCUGUGCUUUUGGCAACCAUCUGGCAUUAGGUAUGAUACGGUGUAGAAAUAUUUUGCGACGAACGCGCACCGGAAAUGUUGGAAUGGGUGAAGGGUCAAAUGGCUUGGCAAUUCCUCCUCCUGAGGGGAUUUAUCCAGAGAUUUUUAACAUUUUAUACGAGCCAGUUGAGUUCCUUGCUCAUUCCCCUUAAAGUAUAAUAGUUUGCAUAUUGCUGUUUGUUAAAGAAAAUAAUAAGGAACAAAUGAAACACUACGGUCAACAUUGGCCUUUUUUUUUUUUUUUUUACCCAACAUGUGUGAUUUUUAUAAUACCACAAAGAAAGAAAGAAUUUGUCUGUUCAAAUUUCACCCCAUCUCAAGCUAUGUUUUCAGAACCGGACCGGAUAUCGACUCGGCCGAGGUCAGGGGUCAAGGGUCAAUGGGUUCGACCAGGGGUCGAUAGGGGUCGAACCGGAUGACGUCAUAAAUAAAAAUUAUUUAAAAAUUAAAUUAUUGUAUAUAAAAUAUCCAAUAACAUAUUGAUAUUAAUAAAGGUAUAUUCAUAUAUAUUUGAUGUUUCAAAUAUAUUUAACAAGAAAAUACAAAGAAAUUAGAACAAUCAAGUAACAAUUUAUAUUAUUUAAUACAUAUUAACAAGUUUAGAAUUAAAAUUAUGGAUUUAAUUGAAAAAUAACAUCAAAUUUUAGGACAAUAUUUAUAAAGUAUGAAAUAUUUGAGGUAUAUUAAUAAGUUUUCACAAUUUAGGGGCCAAAACAUAAUAUUAAAAAGUUUGAACUUUUUUUUACAAAAGCUCCUGUUGGACCGGUUUUUCCGGUUUUGUACCGGUCAAACCCGGUUUUGACCGGAGUUGACCGGGUCUUGAAUCUCCCGGUUCUGAUGACCAACUCGGACCGGACACUUGGCCGGUUCCCGGUUCAACCGGUCGGACCGGCCGAUCCGGUCCGAGUUUGAAAACACAGAUCUCAAGGAAUAGGAUAGAUACAGAAAGCCCCGGGCAUUAACAAUUAUGCCAAUCACGCAACGAAUGUGCAUCCCCUGGCCAAGUGGAUGGAUCAAAUUGCCCUUUCUUCCCAAGUCUAGUUCCAAUCAAAUCUUAUUCUUGCAAUAUAUGUAUGGGCCCUUACAUAAAUUCGUUACCGUUACGUUCCUUCAGCCUUCAUGCAGAAUGAAUGAAUAUUCAUUCAGCUUAAAGUGAUGAUAUGAUAUUCAUAUUUAUCCAUUCAUUUUGUUUGGAUUGUGAGUUGCGAAAUUUUUUACGUCUACCUAUAAAUUACUGAAACAUUUCUAUUUUCUAUCAGAAGAAGAUUCAUAUAUAUGCUACGAGCAUAAAUUAUCUUCUGGACCACAGCCAUGAAUUGGUGAGGCUGGAGCAAGAAAUUCUUAUUUUUGACCUCUUAAUUAACCCUAACUCUUUUUGGCUGAGACCAUUUGACAGUAGAUGAUGCUGCUGAAACGGUUAUUUUAGCAAAUGAACAAUAAUUUGUUUCUUCUAUUAGUGAGAGCUGCAUGAUUAAUACACCUGUCAGAUAUGUAAGCACCGUAAACGGACAAAUUCUAAAAUUUCAUUGGUUGUUGAAAGCGUUCAGAUGAAAGACUUGGCUAGGGUUUGGUGUAGGCCUUUAACAUUAUUGGUUGAAUGAUAUUGGCUGACUUUUCUAAGCCCUAUUCACACAACAAUGGUGAUUUUUUUUUAUUAUUAUUUUUGUUCACUUUCUUUUCUGGACUGCUGGCUACACCUAUAGGUAGCUCAAUUGAUUAUUAUUAUUACUACAAAUAUGUAGGCAUUAUUGUAUGCAAAAUUUGGGUAUGGCUUAGCACGGACGUUAGGUAUGAUGGCAGGAAUAAUUUCAAGUAUAGGAGGUCUAAAAACAAUGACUUGUGCUGAUAGAUCAUGGAGUUAUGGGGCCGUCAAAUUUGAGAAAUGGAGAAUGGUUGGUUGUCCAACAUCUUCAAGGAAUGCUUUUCUUGAGAAGCCUACUUAACAUGGAAAUGCUUUUCUUUUUCUUUUUGGAGUAAAGACAUGGAAAUGUUUAUUUCUUUGUGCACUGAUAGUAUAUAUACAUUAAUCAAUCCAGAUGCAUAUCAUAUAUACAAAAUUUGGUGUACAAAUUCAAACUCAGAUAACGUGAUAUCCGUUUAAUUUUAUCAGUAUAUAUAAUGACAAUAUAAAAAAAAAUUAUUUUUCUAGUAUAAUAAAUAAAUGUGAACCGGGCAGGUUCCGGAGUUUUAUGUCCGGUCGUACAAAGAGGUACCGGUGGUCGUAAUUAUUAAGCAUGUGCAUUAGACAGAUGUUCUUCCUUUAACCAGCCUGAGGAUAUCAAUUGAAGCUUCGCAUUAGUGAUUAACAUUUUGUCUUAGUCAUUUCUUAGAAUCGACCCAUUUGGACGGCCGGUCCCCGGACAAAUUAUUCACAUGGGAAAAGAAAAGAAAACGAAAUGCCAACUACUCAGAUUAAUAACUCUGAUUAUUGAUCUGUAUUGCACCUCUACUGGAAAUUGAUGUGAAACGAAGUAGCAACGAUCCUAAUCCUUUUUCUUUUCCCUAAAGCAAAAAGCGUAAUUCUUUUUGAAUCUAUAUUCUAAAUGCCCAUUUGGAUUGUUGUUUUCUAAAAUUUUUAUAAAUAAUAUAUAUAUAUAUAUCUCUAAUGAUUUGAUACAUGUAAAAUAAAAAAUGAUUAAAAAAUGUAUUGCAGUAAUUUUUAUUUCUGCAGUAACUGAACCAACAGAAAAUAGCUACACGAGUGCCCAACCACGAUAUGCAUAGCAUACUUAUUCCUAGCUCAUGUCAAUCUGGGUUGUAUAUGAAGAUACAGUGGAAUAUAACUACUCAUAUUUUAAUCUUUGUUUAGUUUACAUAUCUAAGAGAUACCUUCAAAACAAAUAGUAGAAAAAUAGAUACCUAUGCGAUGGUUUUGAUUUCCAUAUAUUAAGUGACACAGGCGCUAUAACUAUAAGGCCCCAUAUUAUAUAUAGCUGUUAGAUGUUUACUUGCUUAGAACUUAUUCCUCUGGACGUAUUUCAACUUUUAAAUUCUAGAAAUACACCUACUUUUUUGGCUUGAACCUGUCUUUUAUUGAAAAUUAUGUGAUGUACGUCUUAUCUAUAGAUUUCAGCCAUUAAGUUUAUCAUCAAGCUUUACCUUUGCCGUUAAGAAUCUUCUUUGCAGUUUGCAAGAGGUCUCUUCAUUUGCAGCUUUCAUCAAGGCUCUCCUUUCUUCAGUGGGAUCAUUUCCUCGCGAGUAGUGAGAAGAUUUAUUGAAUGGACUGCUACUUACUCACUUGGGUCCAUCAAGGGCACUCCUCAUUUGUAGCUUUCAUCAAGGGCUCUCCUUGCUUUAGUGGGAUCACUUUCUCACAGCUCGCGAGAAGUAGUGAGAAGAUUAAUUGAAUGGAUCGCUACUUAGUCACUUUAUGAUUAAUUGGGAACAGAGUGAAUGGCCGGAAUGAUCGCUCAACUACUCAAAAUAGCAUCCUUUGGUGAUCAAACUUUUUUUUAGUGAUAAAUCAUCUGGUUACAAGGCAUAAACGUGCUAGCAGAGUCAUUUUACCGAAUUUUAGUGAUAAAUCAUCUGGUUACAAGGCAUUCACUCAUGCAGGAAUAUUUUUUAGGGGGCAAAAAUGUCCAACAAAAUAUGGCAAAUCUGUUUCUUCCUUGUAAGUCAUGCCUUUAGAUCUACAAGUUCAUUGAUUCCUUCUUUCCUCUAUGCAAAGACAAAUCUUCUUUCAUUUUUUUCCAGUUUUCCAUUUCCUUCCAUUUCAGCCAUUCACUCUUUCUCUUUCUUCAGCUGCUCGUUCUGAGAUUAGAAUUCAACUCCCCCACACAAAGAAAGAAAAGAAAAAGAAAUAAAAAAAAAAAGAGAGAGAUGUAAAGAGAGAAUGGCAGUGGCGACUAAGGAAGCAAUCGAAGAUGUAGUGAAGCAAGUGGUAAGUGAAGACGAUGACGAACGUGAUACUUCGCAAAUCGUUAUGCAGAUAUACUUCCUCCAAGAAUGGAAGAUCGUUAAGUCCCUCCUCGACAACAUCGUUGCUGCCGGAUGCGUCUCCGAAUUCUCCUCUGGUCGCAAGAUCUGAUCCACUGUAAAUGCUCACCGUCACCUCACACUCAUCCACACACUUGAUUCAUAUUGGUAGCAUCGAAUUAGAAUUUUUUUGGACGGAAUCAGCUGAAGUAUUCAAAGACAAUCUGAAGCGGGAAAUGGCUGCAAAAUGUUUCUUUUUUGGUUUCGCAAUUAUUGGGAUAAUAACUUGGGGCAAUAAAGUUGGAAUCUUUCGCUGAGAUUCUCUAAUGGAAUGAUUGUUAUUAGUACAAUGAUUAUUACUUGGGCAAAAUAUGUAAGAUUUGAAAAUGUAGAUUAACACUUGUCGAAAUAGCUCCUGCUAUCCUAGUUGGAUGGAGAGUCAAGCGCUGCUCUCUAAUUGUUAACCAGUGAAUGACUAGUAUACAUAAGCUACUUAUGCACGUCUAUCCUUCUUACAGCUUGUUCUAAAUUUGCCUAAAAUUAGAAACUUUGGGCUCUGCAUUUGUAUUGGUUGAAAUCUUAGGGUCUAGUUUUGCACAUCAACUAAACAUUGGGAUAAAAAAUGUAGUUCUCUCUUAUAUUUAGGCCAAAUAGAUGAAUAGAAUAUCAUAAAGAGUUGGGCCUUGAUUUUUUUCUCCUUUUUUUUCUCUUCUCAAAAGAAGCCGAUAAUAAACACGGGUUUUAUGCUAAAUUGUAAUUGUUUUAAUCUUAAAUGUAAAGGCUGAAAUGCAAAUUGGUAUUUGAGUAAUUUCUUUUAGAUCAAUUAUCUUUUAUUAAAAAAAAAUCUCUUAUAUAUGUUUGUUGAUAAAUGAAUUGGUAUUUUAGUGAAUGUUUUUUUUUGAUUUGGAUAGAUCAUCUUUAACAUGAAAACUACUUUAUAUGCAAUACCACUUUUUGUUUUUAAUAAUGGCAAACCUUGUAGAUGGGCUUGAGAUGUCAAACCAAAUUUCACUAAGAUAAUAUAGGGAGGCAUGUACCUAACCUCUUGGAAAUCACAUUUGAAUGUAGAAGUAACAAAACAUAAACAAUGGUUACUACUCCCUUCCAAGCUAAUUGAGGAUUACAAAAAUCAAGGGAUUCUAUCUAAAUUUAGCAUGCUGCUAACCAACUUUGUAAAUUGAUAAGAUUGUACGUUUUACCUGUCUGGAUAGAGCUAGUUAGAUUUGCCAAAGCAUCUGCCACAAAAUUUGUUAAUCUUAACGUUGCGUAUAAUCCCCACCCCUUCUGAAGGUCCUGGAUUACCCAAAGAAGAUCCGUCUACAUUCAGCUUUAGAGCGUGAAUUAUUUAUUGUGCAUGUUAUUUCCAGAACGAUCUAAAUUGGUUAACAAGGGAGGAACAGUUGAUGCGCAUAAGUGCUCCAUUGAGUUCAAUCUAAACGCAGUGUAAACUGACUACAUCUCAUAGAACUAUAAAAGUCUCCCUUUUUUUUAACAACUUUUGGGUGCAAUUGUUCCGCACACAUUGUUUGUCACCCCAAACCUAAAAAUUUGUUUCAAGGCAUGGUCAUAAAGAUGAAUGUCAGCAGAAACUUAUACUUAAGCAACGGAAACAAACUAAAUUUAAUGAUUGAAUUAGUUUAAUGCUUCAGUUUGAAAAGUAAAUGCUGACAAUGAAUGAAAUCCGACAGCGAGUCAAUAAUACCAUAAUAGCUCUCUUGUAAUGUUGUAACUAUACAUGAGCCAUGUUGCUCAUCUGCUAAGCUGCAAUGUCUGCUUUAGCACCCAAGAACUUAUACGUUAGAGCAUCAAACAAUUUACAACUCCUGUAAAUCAUUCAUAUUCCGGCUGAAGUUUAGGCAAUCUAUUCCUAAAUGUUUGACACAAUUAGGACCAUUAACCAAAUAUGAGUAGAAUUCAUCAAUUAACACAAUAUUUGGCUAAGAUCAAGGGACAAAUAAUUAUAAAUUUAGCAAUAAAUUGCAACCUAUCAAAAUUCGUUCUCCAUAAUUUCGCAAAAAAAAAAAAAAACAAAAUCCACACUCCAAAAGAAAAGAAACGCAUGAGACUGGGAUCGAAAAAUAAAAGGCUCCGUGCCUCAUAUUUGUUUAAUGCGAGGUAUGAAGUAAUUCUUUUUUUUUUUUCUUUGCAGAUUGGAAAUUUAAUGGGACAUUGCAUUGGUGGAAUUCUACACUUAAAACACCCUUUUUGCAGAAAUUUUUUAAAAUUCAUCAUCAACUUGGAAAUUUCUCUCAUAUUCAGUUAAGAAAUAGGAUGAACAGUGACAUGUUUAGUCUUUAAUAGCAUUGUGUAUUUGUAUUUGGGUUGGUAUUUUCAUAAGAACCACUGUAAUUUGUAGCAAUUUGAGAUUUUUGUGACUGAGGUAAAGUUCGAAAAUAGUACUGAAUCUGUUGAUGUUAUUGGUCCACAAGGUAAUAUUAUAUGGGAGAGAUUUCUAUGGCAUGAAUUGAUAGGAGAAAGGAAAAAAUGAAAAAGAAAAACAAUUAAACCAUAUAUCAACUAUAUCCAGACACACAAUCGAUAGUCAAGAAAUUUUAAUGGCUAAUCCGCCAUUCCGUAGGACCGGCAAAAUUGGUGAUAGUUUUAAAUUGGUUUGGGUAAAUAGCCAAUUUCGUAUAUAAACUUUUGUACCUAUGCAAAUGUAGUUCCUAACUUUUAUUUCUAACUAAUUUGAUAUGUGAACCUAUUUUGUGGUUCCACAUAAGGACCUCUGUGGCAGCACUAAUCAAAUUGAUCAAUAAAUAGGGGUAUUUUGAAAAUAUCGCACGAGGAUGUAAUAAAUCAAGUAAAUCAUAUAAAAAAAAAUUACAAGAUUAAAUUUUCAAAAAGUUUUGUGUGGUGAUCUUUUACAUGAUUUAAAAGUUUUAUUUGAUGGUUUAUGAUUUACUUGUUUUAUUACAGUACCAUGAGUGACAUUUCCAUGACAUCCCUUUUAGUUAGUUAAUUAGGAGCCAAAUUAGUUUUAGAUAGUAGUGCCACUGCAUAAAUCCUUAAUUGGAACUGCAAAAUAGUUCAAGUAUCAAAGUAACAAAAAAUAAAAGUUAGGGACAAAAUUGGAAAAAUUGGAGAUAGAUUUAAUGGCUAAUCUGCCACUCCAUAAGACUAGCAAAAUUGAUGAUAGUUUGACAAAUUGGUUUCUGAGUUGGGAAAGCAAAAGGUGUAAUAGCAUUUAUAUUUUGUUUAAUUUUAAACAAGCAACAUUUUAUGGUCAAGAUGCUUAAUUUUUCUGUGGCCAAGUAUAUAACACGGUGACUCGUUUGAUAAAAAUAAAAAGAAAAAUAAAAGGUAUCAUGCAUGAGCCGUGUUGCUCAUGUCCUGUGCUACGGCAAUGUUUGCAGCAGACAUAGCACAUGUUGGAAAAGAACUUGGUCCAUGGUUUCCAAAUCCCCUCGACAGAAUCAUAAAGAAGCAGAAGUUGAAAGUUUUCACUCUUCGAAAAACUUAAAGUCCAGCGAGACUCAUACUGCUGACUCCAGAAUGCUGAAAACCAUGGUUAAAUAUCAGUUAUUUUGAAAUUGCACUAACAUGCAAAAUCCCUUUUUCGUUGUCCGCACAAUUUACUAAGGUAAAUUAAUUUUUUUUAAGUAUGAGUGAGAGGGUUCGGUUUGAAACCUCCCACUUAUACUCCCUUUUUCGCAAUCAUCGUACCCAUUUCUCUAUUACAUUAAUGGGCCGCUUUUUUUUAGGAAUUUUGGUAUUUGAGAUUACAAUAAUUUUAAUACUGUGCACUUGAUCCAGUACAAUGAGAAUUGAAAUAUUGAAAUCAUGUUUCAAAAUUUGGCCAUUCAUGAUACCCGACUAAAUUGGAAAGAAUUAACAAAAUCCUCAUUAAUGGGCCCUCUUAUCCAUUAUUCCAUUUCCCUCUCCAAUUCCAAAGCAAGAAUCAAGCGCCUCCUAAGUUGAUUGAUUCUCCAUUCUGGUUCAUUUUGCCAGUUGCAAAGUCUGGUUACUAAAGUACUCCAAAGCACAUGUAAGGGAUAAAUAUAUCAUUCCAAUGCUACAACUCCAUCUCUUUCAAAAACAAAAAGGAUCACCAGCAAUAAAGACAGAGUAAUUGUAUCAGGGGUUUAAAUUUUCUAGUAUUCGAUUACACUUUCUAGGGCAAAUUACACUUUACCCUCGUGAUUUAGCAAUUUUUCACAUAACACCCCUAUAGUUUCAAAAGCUGUACUUAAUCCCAUAAUAGUUUGGAUUAAAGCGUCAAAGUGACGGAAAUGAUCAUUUGUAACUAAACUUUAAAAAUGUCAAAAUUACCCUUAUAAAUACAUGACACACUAAUCCCGUAUGAUUUUGUGUUUUACUAUAUGACCCUUUUAUGAUUUAAUACUUUAUCAUAUAACCCCCUAGGUUAAUAAAUAAUUUUCAACUUUAUAUAAAUGUAUUUUUGACAUUUUAAGUGACUCCGUUACGAAUGAUCAUUUUCGUCACUUUGACACUUUAAUUCAAACCAUGAGGGGGUUAUGUAUAACUUUUGAAACCAUAAGAGGUUAUGUAGGAAAACACUAAAUCACACGAGGGUAAAGUGUAAUUUGUCCAACUUUCUAGGCAACGAGAAGCCAUGGGGAACUCAUUCUUUUCCUCUUUAACUUUGAUAUAACAAGAACAAAGAAGGUUCAGAGAUCAAACAUGCACCAAGUAACAAUCAUAAAGUUCAAAUUUCUAACAUAUGAUUCAAAUGAAAAGACUUAUUGUAAAAGCUAAGGCAUCAAACCAAAAAAAUACGAUCAAUAUUAAACUCAUCUAACGAGCAUGAUUUUUCCAAGCCCCAUUUGAUCUCCAGUUCAGUUCAUUCGACGACCGCAUAGUUCACCAAGAGCAACCAAACUUUCAUGAUAAAUAUUAGCUUGCAGGGUGGUUGG
rnacentral:lncRNA from 1 species